rnacentral:lncRNA from 1 species
GAAAAGCCGCAGAGGAGGUAGGCUGAGGUGGGGAAGCAGGCUGGAAGCUGGGGAGAAGAUGAGAAGAUAGACAGACGGACGGACAGGCGAGUCAGUGAAUGUAGUGGUGUGACCUAAUAAUUCAGUAAGGGAGCGUCACUGGAAGCUCAGGAAGGUUUUGAUGUGGCAGCAAUUGGUCCGCAGGGGGGGGAGAACAGGAGAAAGACACACCCAGAGCAGCAGGAGGCCAUCGAUUUCACCGCGGAGCCACAGUCAGACAUCCGCAGAGAUGAGAGAGGAAAGAGGAGGUCAGUCUGCAGCUUCACACACACACACACACACACACACGAUUGUCAACGGUAUCCUGGCACUGACUGAUCCCCAAGGAGUGAAGGGAGGUACAGAGAGAUAAGCAGGCUGCACGUGGCAAGAGAUACCGGUCCUCCCUCUGAUACAGGAAUAUUGUUUAACAGUGAAGAACAUUAUCCAGGUGAUUAGUAUGUAUUGCAAAACGAACCCCAGGCUCUUGGUCUUAUCACACACCCAGUGUGACUUUCUCUUCCUGGAAAUCAGUCUUGCUGCCCGUAAGGCCGUCUGUUAAAAAUGAUGCUGGAGGUUUGCUUACAGAGACUCCAUGCAGAGACCAAAGCCCAGCCUAGUCCAGAAUUUAACCUUUACAUGAAUUAAACAGAGGCAGCACACUGAUGGCUACAUCCCUGCUAGUAGAUCCACUUGUAAGUCCACUGUAUACUCCUUAUCUAUUUAUUUAUUUCCUGAUUUUAACAUAAAAUGAUUCAUAAACCAAACUUUGUCUAUUCUACAGAGUUAGAGUUGAAUGUUUUUUUACAAGAAAACAAUAAGAGAUCUGUUGUUGUUGACGCUUCCUGUGAGGAUAAUACUCUGAAUGAUAGCUCAUCUUUUAGAUUAGCACCAAAGACAAAGGUUAAAAAAAGAAAACACCUUUUCUCCCCCUGUUGUCUUGAAAACAGACGCCUCAUCUCUCACACUGUGCUGGCUUUGGCGAUCCUCUCAGACGGAGAGGCGACGCCUUUAGCCAAGCAAUAGGGGGCACUCACGCAGAGACACACACAUGCACCCUGUCACAAAAACGAACAACCAAACAGAGAGCAGGAAAAGACACGGUCCGAGCACUUCUUCUAAUUCUCUAAUACUCAAGCAGGAAAACAGGGGUUCAGUCUACUAGUUCCUUGUCCUUGAUUCUAGACCUUUACUUCGACUGGAUGGCUGCUUCAGUAAAAGCCACGCCCUUUGUCUCAUCACCAAACAACAAUAAGAAAGUUUAGAGUUAAUGCAAAAGUUCUCCAGAAAAUAGCGCAUCCAAGUGAUGACUAAAAACGGUGAUUUACUGUUAGAGCGGUAAUAAAAAAUGACCUCUAAGUUCAGUAUUGGCAGCAAAGCCCCUUCAAUUUCAAUCAUAAAGUUAAAGAGAUGUGCUAUGUCAUCGUCUCCCUCCUGAGUCAUAUUCUCUCAAUACAUCUCCCAUCUACUCACUCUAAUAUCCUCCUAUAAAAUCCCCACCUUCUACAACUCUCCUUGGCUUGAGUUUUUAUGUCUUUUUGCGUCCCCCUCUCUGAGGAAUGUUGUCAAGGUAAUGUGACGAUGACCCUUAUACCCCUCAUUAAACCACUUAGUAUCCAAGCAUCAUCUUAAUAGCGAAAAUGUUAAUGUAAAAAAUACAGACGAGACAGACGACCUUAAAAAACGGUGGCGGGGAGUUUACUUUCAUCGUGUGUUAACUAAAGGUCUCAGUCGCUAUCUCUUCCAUUAGUACUCGCAUCAGCAUCCAUGUCGUAACCUCGUUCAGGCAGCGCGACAGACAGUCCAAACAAAGUCAGUAAGAUCCAACAACACGAAAGAGACGGGUGUCAAAGUGACAGAUGGAAAGUUGAACAUCUGUCACUGUGCUGAACUGUUUGGCUGAUAUCAAAGGGAGAUGAGGGCCUUCAAAGGACAGGCAAAGCCACGUCUGAGGCCAGACAUGCUCUGGUGUGCUCUGCAGAUAAGGGCCAAGAGGUUAUAUUGCUUUUCUUCUGUCUCUCCCUUUGUUCUUCUCUGUCUUAAGGGAGUAGGAUGGUGAGAGAGAAAAGAGACAGAAAGAAAAAAAGAGACGGAGAAAAAAAGAGAGGGUGAGUCACCUACAGGUUGCCUGUCUUCUGCCGUCUCAGAACUGCAUGUUGGUCAAAGAUUCGUUAGUGGAAUUUGUGUUGUAGGACAGCAAGAGUAAUGCACAGAGGUGGAUGAAGCACAAGGCUGCAAGGCCGUGAUGUGGAUCAUUCCUGACAGAAUCAGAGAACUUCACCCUUCCAGGCCUUCUCUUUCCCUGCCUUCUCCAGCUUGCUGCAGCAGAGCCGUUGCCUCAAGCAUACCUUCGACUGGGAGCACUUUGACUCAGCUGGAUGCGAGGCAUGAGCUAAAUAGCAGAGUAAUCCUCAGUGGAGUUCUGAAGGAAACGUGCACACUACUUCAUAUCUCAAAGGGUUUGCAGGUUUACUUUCUUGGCAUGGGUGAAGAACACCACAGCCCUGGAGCACCAUCUGUGAAGCUGACUGCUGUGCGUUUCAAACUGAAUUCAAAGUGCGAGGCAAGGAGGUGGUAGUGCUGCACCUUGACUCCAGUCUUUUCUCUUUAGAGGAAAUACGUAUUCUGGCACAAACAUAUUUAGCAUUGCACAAUGCUUGUUUUCUUACAUUUCUAACAUGCUAGCAGUUGCCGGUGUAUCACCAAUGCACAGUGUAGUUUUUCAUAGUCCUUAAGGGAUAACAGACAUACAGGCCAAUUUGGUCUGUGCGCUGGUCAGCGAAUUUCAAAAGGUCAGGCACCAGGCAGUGUUAUUGCACUGAUGGUGAUUUUAAAAGAUUUUCAAAGUGGGGGGCAGCAAAACAAAGGCCACUGGUUGGCCGUUAUUGGAAUGGAAUAACACUGUUUGUCAGAUAAAUUGAUUUUCCUGCUACUGGUCCCCAUUAUGUUGAUGUAGGCAGUAUGGGAGCUGCCAGGUGAGACCCUGGAGUUAAGUGAAUAACUUCUGCAUAACGCAGGCAGGAUAGAAGAGUAAAACUUCUUUUUUCUCCCCUUUGAACAAGGUCAAGUCAACGUAAGGGGUGAUAAUGACGGAGAAUAAAUGACUAAUGACCCUGUCAGCUUAAUACUCUCUCAUCAGAGUGGAGCUCAGAUGACAUUUAAAUCCUAAGAAUGGACAUUUGGAUUGUAUGUGUCAACUGUAACAGAUCUACUUACACUAAGAUGUGGACACAAUAAUGGAAACAGCUGAACUUGGCUGUAACUGAAAGCCAACACUGCAUAGUAGACUCGCUUUUCAUGAAAUCAUCCCUUUAUCAUCAAACUGUGUGCUAGACCUGCAACAGCUUGGUAGCACAACAUGAUGGCUGACACUACGUUAGGCAAAUUGAUUUUAUGGUAAUUCCCCAUCAUUUACAGGAAACGUGGCAUGUAACGUAAAAGGUAACCCAUGUUAACCCAUGUUUGAGCGUGUGUCUUUAUGUUUAACAUGAAAUUACUUGCUCAUAUUCAUCCACGCUUUCAAUCUGAGGGCGACUAAGUGAGAACAAGCCCGAGCCAGUAUACUUUACCCGCAGCCCUGCAUCAUUGCUUUUGAUACGAGAAGGACACUGCUCAUCGAACAGGCAUAGGUCUAGAUGUCCUCUGUGUUGGUUAUCACAUGACAUAGGGCUAAUUAACUCAAGAGUGCAAAGUAGAGGCCCUGCAAGGAGCAAUAAACAUUCUCCAUUAAAAGCCAUCUCAUUAGAAUGCAAGCUACAAGGGCUUGAAGGAGAGGAUAACAAAUACAGAGGCCGGUGUAAUUGUCAACCAGGCUCAAUGGAAAGCAAACAUCAUAGACACAAUCAGCUGAGCACUUCCUAUAAGGUCAUGAAAGAAUGCUAUUAAAGUACUCCUCGCUAUUUGAGCCAAGUUUGCAGAUGGUACUUUCCUCUACCACAGAAAAGGUCACAUACAUUUCAGCAGUAAUGCACCUCAAAUAGCAUGUCAUCAUUUAUAACCAGCUACAGUUGACAACGGCUGGAUAGAGGCGCAUGGUGCACAGAAUCUACUUAUUGAAAGCGCAGCCAAAUAACAAAUUUAGCGUACAAAAUUAGCAAAUUUGGGUCUCUUGCCAAACAAAUAAAGACCUCAUCAAACAGCCUUAUUCAAAUUGCUUGUGGUUCUUUUAAAUUACAACAUCUCACCAGGAAAAAAACUUGAUUGUAAAUAUAUAUAUAUUUUUUUAUCUGGGUCAGUCUUUUCCACUGUUUAAAAGUAAAAAGUUAAAGAGGAAACUGUAAGAUUUCCAAGUUGGCCAACUCUACAUCCAGUCUAGGCCUUCAGGCUCUGUGGUUGAUUGAUAGUAAUGGAAACGCCAGCAGGCCUCCUGAGCCUUUUGCCAAUUUAACCUGUUUUACCAUGACUCAAUUCUUCCUCAAAUAACCCUGCUGCUGACGGGGAUGCACUACAGGCUUCUGCAGCUGAUAAGAUGAGCGUGCAGGAGCAGAGGGACAGAGAGAUGGAUGCAGGGAAAUAGUUUUAACACGUGCUGGGGUUGUGUGUCUACAAGCACCGCUGUUUUAGGAACCCCUUCUGUGAAGCGGGAAAGUAGACAGGUUAAAGAAGUGUAACUGUAGCGCUUUUACUCGUAUAAGCAUGCCUCACACACAACACAGACACAAAACUUCCCAGCCUGAUUCAUGGCAAAUUUAUGUACCACACUGGGCACAUUAUGAGUUCCUGUGUCAGGUAAAUGGGCUUGAAGCGACUGGGAAGAGUGAUUCUAACUGCGAGUGAAACGAGAAACAGGCGGAUUCAUCUACAUAAAUUUUUUCAAGGAUUCCGUCUUGGUCAACAACAGUUUGCCAUGAGAAUAACUGACCACAAGCUUAUUUCUAUUUAAAAUUUUCAGCCUUUUCAACCCGAGCUCUCCAGCCUGUAGUGUUUAAGUGGAAAGAGGACAGGAUUUAAUCGUCUUACGUCAAGCUUAAACCAUUUAUUUAGGACAUCAUGUAGGCUUAUAUAUUGCGGUGUAAGUGAGAUUACAUUUAAUCAGGUUGCAAUGUGAUUCUAGACUCAUUUAAAGUCUAAUCAAGGAUCACAUCCAAACUAUCACUUGUCUGAUUUGUUUGAAUGGAUUCUUACGUUAAGAUUACAUCCAGUUGUCAUGGAAUCAAAAUAGUCUGAGCUCAUCAUGGUGAUAUGCUGUCAACAAAUGGAUACUAUGUUUCUAUCCGCUACAAGUAAAUUUAAACAUUUAAACAACAUACACAUUUACAAUUAGUACAUUUCUUAAUUCGUUUAGAGUUAAUGCUCAUAUAUUUUAUUCUGAUGCUCAGUAAUUGACUAGUCAGCCAUUCUUUAAAAGAAUUUCAACUUAGUGAACUUGGUUACAGCAGAAAAACCAGUAUAGACAGAGGAAACAAAAGGAAGAUAGAGUCAGAAAUAAAGAGAUAGAGAGAGGAAGAUAAAGAUAGAGAUAAACACUGAGAGAGAAAAAUAAAAAUGGAGAGAGUGACAGCACAGGGGGGCUCAGACAUCUGCUCAGGUAUAAUGAUGAUGCUGUGGGGGAGGAAAGAAAUAAGAUAUGGAGGUCACGUUUCUGGCAUGGAGCCGCCAUCUGUCCCCCAGGGUUAGUGGGGUGAGCCAAGAGUGGCGGAAGAGCUGGGGGGUAAUGCAUCUCCUAGAACAUCUCACUGACUUAAAAUGUCCCCAUGCAUUACAGCAUGCACAUCGUCGUCUUUAGUUCUUUGACUAAAUUCUUCACUCUCAACAUCAUGGGUCUGAACUUUGUCUGGAGGAGCUGUGCAAAAUCUGCAAAAAUAUUCUGCUUCCAAACACUUAGUGGAGCCUGCUAGUGUAUGGGCAGCAAGGUUAUCAGAAAGCACACACAUACCAUGGACUGCCUUACAAAUGAUCUCAAUGAAAAAACCCUUCUUGCUUAAGAGCGGGGAGCUACCAUAGAUUGUAUAGAAUGGACAGAGUCUGCCUCCUUGCUGGGUGAAGCCACUCAGAGAAGAGCACCCUCUGUUGACGGGCUGCAGUAUAGGUCAUAAAUCCCGCCUCCACCAGCAAAGCUUAUGGGGCUGUUGACAAACUUUAAAAAAUUUAUUACACAGAAUAUAAUUUUUUCUCCCCCCUGCUUGCAACAUUGACAUGUAGUCACAGUAAGACUGGUUUGUGCUCAAAUCCUCUUUUUUCUGUGAAGCUCCAUUUUAAAAGUUUUUAGGGAGUUCAUGUUUUCAUUGAUUGACACCUGAUACAACCUAUGGGCAUUCAGGGAUUAAGUAGCUCACCUGGGGGAUACGCUGUUCGAGCCAAGCAUCAUCACAGCCACUGUCGGCGACUCUCGCGCCGAAUGUGCACAAUGCCACUGCGCAGCGCUGGUUUCAGGAAAUGAAGAAAAAUCCCGGAAAUACCGAGAGCUUUUUGGCUUCAAAUCCAUAUAAAGGCGGGAGGCGGAACCAAGUUGUCCAUAGUAUAUACAGUCUAUGGGAGCCAUGCAGCGAUACCAACGACGUCAUACUCAGCGUUCUCCCUUCACUUGAAAAUAUCAUUCAGAGACUGACAUUGACUCAAUGACAUUUAUCUACAUCAAAUCAGAACCCGAUUACUUAUUCAGACUACUCGAUUAUUUACAAUUAUUUUUACUAAAUAGCUGCAUUUGAGUUUUGUGCCCUUAAAAGCCUUGAGAUAGUACUGUUCAGGUUUACAUCAUGGGUCUGAACUUUGUCUGGAGGAGCUGUGCAAAAUCUGCAAAAAUAUUCUACCCACUACAACAUUGAGGUUAGGAUUGGGGUAGUUAUUGAUUUGCCCCUUCAGGUGAACUGUACUAUACAGCGUCUGAAACAGAAUCAUGUCCAGUGUGCAUGUCGUGCUGUAAAUGUUUUGUAAGACACAGCAGGCUGUAGAGACAUGUGGAACUUUGCUCCUGUCUUAUGUGUCCGUAAUGGAGCAAUUCUUGGGAGAAAGGUUUGUAUUUUUGGUGCAAAAGGUUUUUGCAUCAGUAACAUGUAAUUUGUAGUCGUGAACACUGAUUGUGUACGUGAAUUGGUAAAUGUGAAAUCCGUACUCUAUGAGUUGUGUAAUUGUAGAUUUUUUUUUUUAAUUCGCGAAAAUAGUUGUGUUGUUUUUAAACACACAUACAGAUCGAUACUUACAACCGCUGGAAUCUUCCCUACGAGUCACAGAUUGCGCUCCCUCCAUCUCCAACUCGAGUCGCUGAAUUGUUUGGAGCAAAUGGCGGGUGCUGACCAGAGAUUAACGGGUUUUACAACCAAUCAGAGGUGAGAGCAUUUCGACUCAUAGCCAAUCAGAGGAGUACUGUAGGAGUACCGUACUGCGCAAGUGCAAACAGAUGCGUCCAUUUUUGUAGUCAUCUCUCAGUGAGAGCCAACACUCUUGACCGCGCUAGCAACACAAAAGAACUACAACAGUGGCUUGACUUCCUGUCAGCAGGGAGCACGGCUGCGCAUUUCUACUCUUCAAGCCAGGAGCUUGGAUACGUCAUUUUGUGAAAUUUUGUAGUUUUUUAAUCAUUUCUGGAGUCGUGGCGAAUCAAAUCACCUUACCCGUCUGCCUCUGAUCGGCGAAUAAAGCGCUCGGAUUUAUGCUCGGAUCUUUCUCCUCCCUUUAAGAGGAAAGUAAUCAACAACGGAGACAGAGAGCAGCUUUUGAGGAGAAACAUCAUGCAGUGUGAAAAACUUCAUAUUGAGUGUUUUGGUUCACACUAUCGGAGUUUUCUGUGAGUGUUGCAUGACUUUGGGUGAGCACAGAGAUGAACACACUUCAGCCACUUAUUUAUUUAUUCAUUUUUCUAGUAUUAAGCGCUGGUCUUGUACUGGCACCAUACUAGGGCAGCUGUUUCAACACUUUAUUUCUUAUAUUUGUGUUGAAUGGACACGUUAUCAUGACUGCCUCUUGCUUUACAGAAAGCAAAUAGUUUAUUAUUCUCCAGUGAAGAGUCUUUACUUUUAAUUAAUUUUAGUUUGUUUCAUCAAUGUUUUCAAAAAUGCGAUGAAGGUUCCGAAAAAUAAUAGGGCUGCAACAAUUAGUCAAUAUGCAUACUGUUUGCUGUUUUACAACUUGUAUUCUUUCUUUUGCUCAAGUUAAAUGUGGAGCAAAAGUUAUCGUCUGUUUCAGACAAAAGUUGACAACCUCCCACCAGGAUGUUAAGUGAACUGUUUAUUUUGUUGCUUGGGGAUAAACCAAUAGAAGAAAAAGAGUUCAGUUUCAGGGGCCAGUGCUACCGAUUCAAUUUCUAUGACCACAAAUUCUUUUAAAGCAUAAUAAGCCUAUGCUUCAAGUCCCCAUACUCUUUCAAGGCUUGAAAUGGCCUUGUCGUUACCUACAAAUCACAGCUCUCCACAAAGCUGCCCUCUCUGGGGCGAUAUGUCAGUGACCACAGGGGAGGAAAAAACAGAAGGCAACAGACACGAACAAGCCCCUGAAAAAUGUAAUGGUUUUUGCUGAGGAUUUAGCUAGUGGAAUGGUGGUGUGGGAGUAUCAUUCAUGUUUUCAGACGUAGCAGAUCGUCUUGGGAGAUGGUGAAUAUUAAAAGGCUUUGCUGGAGCUGCCCGUGCAAAGGAUCUUGACAGGAGAUUUGUUUAUGACCUUCAAAAAGGGGAAGGGAGUCAAUGAUAGCUCCAACGGCCUCUUUUGCAUCUCAAGGCAGCAGCUUCUCCUACAGAAAAAAAAAGCAAAGCUGCGGUUUUAUGUUUGUUACAUCCUGAUAGGCUAGGGGUACUCAGGACUAACAAAAAAAAGCAAUUGAAAAACCAGGUAAGGGUGGAAAUAAAAAGAGAAUGGCAAGAAUGUGCAAUAACUCAAGUAUUUUAAUAACGAAACUCAGGUCAGCACCACUACAAAAGUAAAACAAUCCUCACAAAGAUAAGGACGAUAAUAAUUAUAACAACAAAAACAAUCCUUUUCAAAACAGGACGACUAACUAAGAACAGGUGACAGCUACAAAAACUCACCAGAGGGAAAUAAGAGACACCACUUUGUCUAAACAAAGAUAAAAAAUCACUUUUCCAGUCACUAUACAUCCACACAGGUACAUGCUCACUUUCACAUGCAGACACAUCCACACAGAUCCUCUCACACUCACGUUUGGACACCCAAACACGUUUUCGUAACAAUGUUCAAGUAUUUAGAGUUGUCAUCUGAGCUGUGAGGCUCUCCCACUUCUCUUUAUCAAAUAGCCUCUUUUAAGUGCAAUGUGAAUGCAAUAAGGCAAAAGCUGUCUGCAAGAAAAAAAAAACGUGGCGGCUCAGAGAGGACGGCCUAGUUAGAUUGUUUGCAUCAAAGUACCAAAGUCGUGGCCGUCAAUUCAAGAAGUGGGAAAGAUACGAGAGUAAGAGUUGGAGGCUUGCUGACAGAAAACAAACUGCACUUUACUCAAUUUAGUAAGUUAUUGCUGACCAUAGAGGCCUCAACAUUUAAAGCUGAGCUCUGAUUUCGCCAAGAACUUAGUCAAAACUGCCAUAAUGAACUACACCAAGACAAAACACAUCAAUCUUACAACAAAAUUAUCAUUUUGCAGAGUGAGCAACACAGAAAUGUCUGUCAUAUUUAAAGUCAUGCAAGUUAACGCCUGUCUUUUCAUUCUGUUAAUACAAUUUGAGAGAGACAACACAUUUUUAACUCUCUUUUUAACUCAUUUUGACCUAACGAGUCUGAGAUACAGCGGCCACAUCGCUGAUAUAACAAGGCCUGAUUUCUUACAAUAUUCAAUUUUUGGCAAAUAUGAAAGCUGGUUCAACUAGCAAAUCAGUACACUUCAAUCAGAAAGACAAAUGGCCUCCGCUAUACAAACCAAUUACACUUUCCUGAUCUAUCUUCAUCUGCAGAAAAUUAAAAAAGGAAGAACUAAUAGUUAACCUUACAGUUAAAUUGCACAGAAAGUCCAUGAUGGGGUCUUCUCUGCAAGGAAAUUUUAGUCAGGAAAUGUUGUUGUUGUUGUCAGCACUUUAGCAAAGUACGAGUGAAUGCACGUUUUUCUCUGAAACACAUGCAGGCUUUGUGGCUUAAAAAAUAAACCAAUAACUCCAAGUUUGUAAAAGUAGAGGAUAUAAGACCUCGGCUACCCGAUAAUCAUGUUAGUCUAUAAAACGCUCCUCUUUAAUGUUAAUUCGGCCUCUCCAUGAUGGUACAAAAAAGGCAUUUGCAUUUUUCUUAGCAUAUGGCCUCUGAAUUUCAUGGUGUCUAAUCAUAGUGUUAUAGCCUUGGAACAGGUCCUAAAAGUGGCAUUUUAGUCUAUAAAAGUUAGUUGGAUGUUAUUUUGAAACUUACAAUUGCUCAUUCCUGUCUGAAACUCUGCCAAGCUUGUCUGACCAAAAGCACAUACACUCAGACACACACAAACAGCAAAGUGAUGCCUGAAAUAAUCAAUGACCCUGUUCAGGCUCAAUAUUUUUUACCCCAUCUAUGCAGGCUUUCUGAUGUGCUGAGAUUUUACCUGACCAAAGAGUAGACAAAUGACAGAUUCGCGAACGAUUCAUUCAAAAGAACCGAAUCUUUUAAGUGAACAUAUUGAACCGAAUCACUUCCUCGAGUGAUUCGUCCACUUCUCACUUAAGUUGAACUGAAGUGAGAAACUGCAUUGCCAGGCCAGCAAAUGAGGGCCCACAUGCACACCUGAAUCACUUGGUGAAGGAAUCACACACUGAACUACACUCUCUGGAAUCCUUUUUGUCGGACAAAACUACAUUUUUUUUCCACUGCUAAAUUGCCACCGCAACUUGCAUACAAUAGGACACAGCAUGUGACAAGUAGUGCAUUUAACCCGCAGCAUCCUAUCAUUGCAGCGGUUUGCGAGGGACCGGAGCAUGCUCAGUGUGAAUUCUUCUAAACGUUCAGUGAACAAAUCACUCAAAGACCCCAAUUUACCAAACAGACCUGAUAAAUAGCAUACCACAGGACAGUACACUUAAAACACAUGACUUAUAUACAAGUUCAUUUUUACAAACCUGUUUGCCAAAGUAACACAGCCAAACACUCUCAUCUCCUGGUCCCAGAGGCUAUGAAUUGAACUGAAUCCUGAAAAGUUCAGCUGUGUAUCAGUUCAGGAGGUCAGAGUCGCAGGCUUCUCCCACUAAAUGAUUCAGUGAUUUGGUGAACGAAUCUUUUGAACGAAUCUUUUUAGUAAACUGAUUAUAGUGAUUCAGUACAUCUAGAAGAACUGCCAUGCCCGUCACUACUAGGAAAUGUUGGACACAAAGAAAAAGUGAAAGAUUAGAGUAGAUUAGAGACAACUUUAUUUAUCCUUCUUGGAGUUCCCUCAAUGAAAUGAAAAGGAUUGGCUAGUACAAAGAGGCGGGUUUCACUUGAUGGUAGCUGAACAUGGAUUCUGGGGCCUUGCUGAUGGCAGCAUGUGGGACUCCAGACUGUCAAAAACUUGUUAGUCCCUCUGACCAAAGCCUUUAUGUCAAAGUUUGGCACUUUUGAAUCAAACUGAGGAGGCCAUGACUCCACCUGCUUCACCUGCUGCACAGCAAAUAAGUCGUAUCAGGUUGCAGAAAGCAAACGAAGUUAACCUCGCACACAAACUAUCCAGAGACAUUCGCUACUAACGCUAACAUAAACCAAAAGUUUAACCUAACAUCCACGGUGUUAAACAGCUUUACUCACCACAGAUGUCUUCAUGUUGGCCUUCAAACAAAAGUAAAAACGUCCCCAAACCGUGAAUGUUUGUGUGGCGCUCAGAGUAACAUCCGAGUUGCGUUUUCCCUGUUGCGGCUGUGCAACAUCAGAGACGCUCUGGUCCGGUUGUUGCGGAGACCCGUGUUUCCUCUUCGCCACAGAAGUUUCAGGGCUUGGUGGUGGUGAGGAUGUUUUCCAGCGUAUCUGUACUUUUAGUACCUUAAAAUAUUCCCAAAGUUUUCUCAAAGCCUGUCAAACUGUCACGCAUUUUUUUUAAAUAAUAUUAACUUUAUUGAACAUUUGGCCCUUGACAGUACAGACGGCAGACGGCUCAAUGCGUAUGUUAGAAAUCAAAUUAUUUGAAAAUCAUAACAAAUAAAAAACGUCUUAAAUAGCUUUAGCUGUUUUGCUUUAAUUUACAUCCUCAUCACAUCUUAGAUAAACAUAAUAAGUCAUCUUUUUUAUGCACACAUCAUGUGAACUACAGAGACCUUUCUUUGUUUGAAAAUGUAUGUAUCUAAAUGAAAGGUCCAGGGAUCAGUACAGCAACAUGAGCUACACCGCUAUACUUCCAUUUUUGGGCACAGAAGAAAGAUCACAGCCUCAGCUCAUCAUUUUACUCAUCCUUGGAGCCCAUCCUCAUCCUGAAGUAAAUACUUAAUGAUGCUCUUUGUCUGGCAGUAAGACCAAGGCCUUGACUCUCAAUAAGCUGGUUAGAGACCAGCCUGAGCUCUGAAUCACUCCAAUUUAGGGAUGUGGCACUUUUAAUCUUCCAAUAUCGUUUUUGCCUCUGGAGCCUUUCUUGGGUGAACUGGUGCAACUGUUAUUAAUCUUCAGUGCAAAGGCAAUUUCUCUAAAAGCCCCUAUUUGUUUUUUAUGGGUCCAUUGAGGGAGCAGGGUAUAGCAGCGGGGAGGGAGACUGUAAACAAGGUAUGCAGGGAAAGGCAAGUUAUGUCCCUGUCAGCAUUCAAUGCUGGUCCCUCUCUUUUUCUCUCCCUCCCUCUUUCCCUCUGCUUACCCUUAGAGGAUUAAAAAGAGGAAAAGGGGAGUUUUCAGAAAGCAAACUGAGCAAACUGGAGCGUCAGCAUGAAUUCAGCUGGACUGAGAAAUGAUUGUUCAGAAGAGCUGCACUAUCUCACUGCUGUGAAUGUGCGCUGAGCCAGUCUUUGUGAAACACAGAUAUUCAGUUUAUACACAUUGCAAGAAUAAUUUGCGAAAUGCAUCAUUAGCCCGCAUUUGUGUGUGUACACACAUCCAGUAUAGAUACUGUACCUGUAGAUAAUCUAAUUACAAAAAGCGAUAGAAGAGAAACGCAUAAAAAAAAACAAUUAAAAAGACUACAAUACAUUAAGCUUUCAUGUGUGUUAUUCUUUCUGCAUCUACACUGUGUCUUUAUCAUCACGACAGUGUUCCUGGUUUGAUCUUCAGCUCAUCUGCUGGACCACCUUCAGGCUUGGCAACCAUUGUCCACUGUCAGGGAAAACAGCAAUUAUGAUAUCAUUAGAGCAGGAUCCGAUACCUACAAAGCAGGGGACCCAGAGGGGCAAGAAGAAGACUCUCAGCAGGAACGGAUAACACAGUCUAGAGUCAGAUGCCCCCCAAUUACCAUUAAACAAGACAAACAGCCGUUGCAGCAGGCCAUUAGGCUGUAGGGAGAGCGGCUGGGGGCUUGUUUGGUUUAACAGUUUGGCAGGUUGUUAAAGUCACACAAAGUUUAAAAGAUGGUUGACUAUGAUAAAUGCCGUUGAAUGCAAAAAUGAGUCAGAGCCGUUGGUUGUGUUGUGUUAUAUGAUCAUGUGGCUUUAUUGCCAGAAAAAGAAAUAUGUUAUUUCAGGUUUACAGAGUAUACUACAGGGAAUCGUAUAGGUGAUGAAUAAUAAAAGACUAUGGCAUCUAUGAUUCAGUUAAACCAUGGUUACAGCACCAUUGAGUCUCAUACAUGUCCUCCUAAACGGAACAAUAUGGGAAUAUAUUUAGUAAUUUGUUAAAACGUUUUUUUUUUCCAAGUGUUAAAUCCAAAGAUAAUUGGAGAUUGUUGAACAUUAUAGAACAAGCUCAGUAGCAGUUGAUACAGUUUCACACCAAGGGUGGUGCUCAGUGAUCUAGUAGCUUUCAGGUGGCAGAGGCAGCAGCCACUUCUCUCACUUCUGCCCAUUCUAGUUCUCACAAUUUGACUGUAUUAAACACACAUACGGAAAAAAAAAAGAAAAGAAAAGAAAAAAGUUUCAUACUGAUUUGUGGGAAAUUUUACUUUAGAAGCUGACAUGAAAGCCAUUCAAAAGACUACAAUGAUAAAAUACCCCAAACGCAGCAAAACCAACUUUUUUUUGUCAUGUUAAAAAGAAAAAGAAACACACAGUGUGGAGAUCCAGACUUGUUGUUUGUCUUCCCUUGAGCUUUGGUAAAUCUAAAGGCGUAGAUUUCUUCAAACAGCCAGGCAGUUGGUGAGUAUACUUGGUAUGGACACUGAGUUGCAAGACCUCACUCACAAAGCCACAGAGUAUUGAUCCUCAUGCAUUAUAGAAGCAGUUUUGAGGCCAGCUGAUGUUGGGAGGUAUAACUUGCUCCCCCCCUGGAGCAUACACUUAAACAUGCCCACUGGACCAUGGCAGCAAUUAUCAGACACGGGUUGAGAUGAUAAACAUACGGAUAAUACAUCUAUUGCAUGUUUAUAUUAUCACAGUUAACACACAAUCAUCUGCCCUCCUUAUUCUCUUGUCAAACCUGACAAACUUCAUCCUGAGGAGAUAACAUGCCAUCGUGGCACACGGGCUAUCAGUCCUUUUUACUCUGUAUCAUCAGAGUAAAUCCACUGGAUGCAUCAUGGCUCACAGUAUGACCUCACAGGGGGGUGCUUUCAACAGCCUUGGCAACACCUAACUCUCCAAAGAAUUGAGUUUCACUGUCACCUCCAGGUCAGUGCUGCUUGAACCCAAAUGUGUGAAUCAAAACACCAGCGAUCCCACUGGGGUGCACAAAAGCCGGUCUCUUCUUCACACAGCUCUAUUGUAGAUGAAGUGUUAGGAAUAGUGAAGAAACAGAAAGAGAGGGAAAGAGAAAGAAGGGAAGGGUGAAGAUAUAAUUUUUAAUACUAGCUAUGGAGCAUUUUAAAAGAAGCCAAUUCUUAAAUGUCUGUGUUUACUCUGGUCUCAGUUUGUUUCCUUUAUUGCUGUUUUAUUAAAAUACACUCAUUAUUUGCUUAAAGCAUAUGUAAACUAAUUACAUUUUUAAAGCUCCUGUAAGGAGUUUUUUAAAUAUAUGAAAAAGGCUGAAAUAAACAAUGAUGUGUCUCUAUGUUGUAUAAAAGCAAAUAAGACCAUCCAUGACAGGAUUGGCAAUUUUUAAACUGUAAUUUUUAACUGCUGAACCCUGAAGAGACAACCUUUAUAACUUCUCCCACUGCAAAUAUUCACACAGAGUGAUAAAAUUAACUGAACACGGUCAACACAGACUUAAAGUUCCUCAUAGCACCUUUAAGUAAGUUUGCAUUAAACAAACACAUUUUCUAACAAGUUAAGUUUCAUACUUUCCCUGAAGACUUAUUAUAUUUAUCAAAUACAAAAGAAGUUAGUAUAUUAACAGCAAAAAAUGUGAGUUUUUUCUUUUUUUUAAAUACACAAAACUUGGUCUGCAAGGUACCAUUUAUCGGGUUUUACAGCAAAGUUACAUUUAACAUUUGGAGGAUUUACAUAUAGACUAAGUAGAUCUUCAAACACAAGUAACAUAUCUCACAGCUACAUCAAAAAUCCCCCUCCCUCUUCACAAUACUUGGCGCCUUCCACUGAUAGGUCCUGUUGAUAAACCAAUGACAGGCUUGUCCUCUGUUUUGAAGUUCCUGGUUGCAACAGUGGAGGCCAUGUGAAAGAAAAGAAACAGGUAACUAUCAUUUUGUUCAUGUUUUUAGUGUUUAAGCGCUUUGGUGUGGAGAUGGUUUUGAGAUGCUUCCUUGAGAAAAAGAAAGAAAGGGAGUUAGGUGUUAAAAUGCUAAGUCAUGCUAUGCUAGCCCACCACAGACCUCUGAGCCAGCUUGUUACCAUGCUAAAAACAGUAGUGUUACGGAGUCUGGAUAAAACCAGCCUAAUUUUGACCAUCUGGUGGUGUGUGUUGGACAGCACAAUUCACCUCCAUACUACCUGAACAGUAUUGUCAUGACCCAGCUCACCAGACAUGACAGAAAGAAGAGAAAAUACAUGGUCAGCUGAAUGAUGCAAAAGUGUAUUGCUAUAGAUUGUGCAAUAACUAAAACAGUGUACAGCAGCGGUGAGGUGUUUGUGUCAGCAAAUCAGUGUGUCGACUGUUGGGUGAGUGAAAGAUGUGUGGAGCAUGUUGGUCGCUGUGGAAAAUAAACAGAAGAGACAGUCAAAGUCAACUGAACAAAACCAGGCUGCCACGUGGAGCAGCUAGAGAGAGAGAGAGAGAGAGAGAGAGAGAGAGAGAGAGAGAGAGAGAGCAGAACAGAGGGAGGACUUAGAUCCAUCUGGGAGACUGGCCAGGUGUUCCCAGGUGUGGCCCACCAGCAACCUGCAGGGUGACAAGCGAAACACAGAGAAGCAGGCUCUGCACAAGUUGCUGUAUCUUGUCAAGCUGUUAUACAAUUGUCAAAGUAAUGCCCUGACAGUUAGUUUUAACUGUUUUUAUACUUCAUCAUACUUAACAUGAGUUUUGUUUUCAGUGCAGAUUUGUAAUGUGACAUAUGGCGACAUUGUGAGCAUUACUGUAGAUAUGUACAAUUCUGCUCUGGAGUGUAUUCAGUAUAGGAUGCACGGAUAGAUAUUAAACUGCACCAUUUUAGCUUUUAAUGUGUCAGAGAUGCAGGACACAUGCCUAUCAACAACACUGGAUUAAUUAGCCCUUAGAUUCAAUGGUAUCAGUAGAAGUGAAACAUCAAGUGUUUCAGUGCACACAAAGGAAGAUCCUCCAUGUCUCUUUGACUUAAACUGUAAAUAUGGAACAAGGCGGAGUCAUUGGUGAGCAGAUAAGAUAAGAUAAGAUAAGAUCACAAAUAUAACCUCAUGCAAGAAAAAAAAAUGCUUUUCUCUAAAAUAAUUGCAGUUGCUUGGUGAUGACAAAGCUGAGUUGUCUUUGCCAUAUCAUGAAUUCAAUGCUGCAUUUAUUUUUACAAGACUGACAUGUGACAAAAGUAAAAUGGAGACAGAUAAGAUGAAAUCUUCAAAGUUGACAGAAAACUUUGAGACAAGGAUUUCAAACAAUGAUGUGCAUGACACAUUUUUCUACCCACAAAUCACUUUUUUCAAACUCAUCCACGUUAGUCUCAGUAAGUGUUUCUGUUCUCUGUUGUGUAUUUGCUUUUAUUUAUAAAGCUUCAAAAAUGCAUUUGCUUCUUUAUUCACAUAUGCAACAACACACACUAGCACAAACAAAACAAGCCUGCAGGGAUAAGCUGUGCAUGGCAGGGCAAAUGCAAUUUACUUUCAAUCCAGAGAAACAACAGCAUGUCUCUCAUUUACCUGACUUGUGUUUCUCUUCUCUGCAUUUAAAGGGGAAAAUGGAGAAAGACAGGCAUUUAUAAAGCUGGUAUAUUUCAGAGUAGGCUCCCCUCAGCAGAGAUGAUACUCAUGAACCUUUCCCACAUGGGCAAGUGAAGGUAAGGGUAAAAGGGAGAUAGGUUUUUUUUUUUCUUACCUCAAAAAGUCAUCUUUGCUCACAUCACAUCUGCCUCUUGUUUCCUGGAGCAGGAGGCUCAAAACGGGCCUCUCUGCUGUUCUUGACAUCUUGGCUCUGUUAAUUGCAAUGUUAGCCGGCCGUGUUGGUAUUCACUUUAGGCUCCAGAAACAGAUGGCGUUUAACCAUAAAUAUUAUUCACACUUCUAAGCAUCCAAAGAUCCUGGGUGGGGGCUGUGAGGAAGAGCAGAUAUAAGGUUAAAACUAUCUUAAUUUCCAUUAGUGCAUCAAAGAGGAAAUUCAAGUUCAGAUGAGUUUAUAGGUGAGGUGAUGUUUGAUUAUCUGUGUAUCUGCUAGUAGGUAGGUCUGUGGAGGGAGGGAAAAAAGCGAUAUUUCCAAAAAUAUCUACACAGUUAUUUGUCACUCAACAUAACUGCUUAGUUCUGUCUGUGUCAGUGUGAUUUUUUACAUUUAAAGAUUAGAGAAAUAAUCCAGCGUUCUGUUCAUCUAGGAAGUCUAGGCUCAGGCUUUUUUGUGAGUGAGAUUCAUGUCUAAAUGUAUUUGCUUAUUUUCUGUUAAAUAGCAGGUAGUGUUAAUGAGCGGCAAUCAUACAUGGAUUAAUCUGACCGCUAACGCUCAUGAAGCAGCAUUCAUUGUGGCUUCUCCCCAAAGUGAUUAUGGUGGACAGUGGUGACAAAACAACCUGUUAUUUCAUGUUACUCAGAGUAUUUCUGUCACCUGCAGCUCCCCCAGUUGACGGGGAUGUCUAUUAUUUAUCUCAUUCAGGCGAGUGAGUGGCGAGUCUUCUGUGAGCAUUCUGCUUCCUCUCUCAGGUUCUUUAGUUUGAUUAAGAAACAGCUAAGGUUAGCGACAAUUUAAAAAAUACCUCACUCUGUGGAAAACUUGAGGAUGAACUAGCUCAUUUAUCAGGGAAUUAGCAAGCCAAAGGUGUUGACUGUUGAUAACUUGGAGUUUUCCAACUCCAAAUAUGGUAACCUCUGGCUCCAGAAAACUAAUAUGGUGGCAGUAGGACAAAUUAUAGUUGGAAAGUCUAUUAUUUCUAUCAUCUAUCGGCUUAAUAUCUGGAAGAAAAACCUCUAACAGUUUAUUAUCCCACAGUGCAAAUCAUAUAUUACUAUCAGAGUGACUGUAAGUGCAUGACAUUUGAAAAUGUCUUAUUCAGAAAGGAGGAAUGUCUCCAAAAUGUCUCAGCAUGAAUGUUUGCCCAAGAUAGCCUCUUGCUAAAUGUGCAUUCAUUGUGUCUAAAUGUGCUUCGAAAUGGCUUUGAAAUAUACAUGACAACCUAUCUAAGAGGGUCUGCAAAUGCACUUAAGUGUUGGGUUGUGGGAGAGGUGCUGGAGAGAUGGGAUGACAUGGAAUAUCUGAAAGGCACCCAAAGAGAAAAGGAGGAAGAGAGAAGAGAGAGACCGGGGAGAAUAAAAGUAAGCUGGUACUUUUACAUAGUGCAGGGCAGAGUGGCUUCUUUUGAUUACAUCCACAGGGGAAGCAGUGUAUGUGUGUGUGUGCGUGUGUGUGUGUGUGUGUGUGUGUGUGUGUGUGUGUGUGUGUGUGUGUGUGUGUGUGUGUGUGUGUGUGUGUGUGUGUGUGUGUGUGCGUGUGUGUGUGUUCAUGCAAGAGUGAGUAACUGUGUCUCUUUUUGAGUGUCUUGUUGUUUCUGGCUUUGUAGAGGGAAAUAGAGAAAAGCUUUUGUUUGGGUUUUCUUUUUGUAUUUAUACGUCUGUUACUGUGUGGGAGAGAGAGAGAGAGAGAGAGUAUGUUUGUGUGUGCGCAAGAAAAAGAAGGGGAAAACUGUGCUCUGGUAUGAGUGAAAGGGGGCUAUGUGCCUGAGCAUGCACCGACAUGUCACAUUGUAUUUGUCACAUUCAAAGGGAGAGCACCCGGAGUCCCUGCUGCCCUGACCCUGCAGUCGGUUGGUGCUGUCUUGCUGCGACCACACAACAGUCACCAUCUCUGGGGUUAUGGGACUGAAGAUCGCUGACCCUUGGUGACCCUUGGUGACCCGUCGGCAACCCCUUGAGUGCCUUUUGCUUAUCCCACAUGUACUGAACUCUUGCAUACACCUCGGGGAGACAUGGUGUUGUAAAACAUUAGCUAUCCCAGCAAUCGGUUUCAGUUGAUUAUUUUGCAAAUACAUUGGGGUAAGUUGAGUAUUUUUCUACCCACCCACUGUAUUUCUGCAGGACUAGAACCACAGGAGAUCGGUAGUCUAUGAAUUGAAGUGAUUACAGUCGGGUUUCAGGUGGAUCAUCUGCUCUCUCGUCUCAGUACUUAACAGGUGCAAGAGUUACUGCUGUAGUUACCCUGGAGACAGCGAUUUGAAAGGGCAGACAAAAGUGCUUCAAGAUUGGUCGGGUUAAUGGGUAAAGGCUACGCUUUACUGUAAAGUGCAGGCUGACUCUGAGAAAAAUGACAUUUUUGACAAAGUUGAGCUUUCUGUUGGAGAUUUAUGGACUGUAUAUUUGUGACUUUUGCUGUGGUGUGAAAAUAACACUUUUCUGUGCAUAUAAUGUCUGUUCAUUGUAGUCUGUUCAGUAAUGGCUGUAUUGUAGAAGCAGACCUCUGCUUGCUGUUAUACCUCAACAUCUGUUUGCUUUUCUAAAUUCUUACACAAACACAUUUUAUGAUCCAUGGAUUCAAGUAGAGGUGAUAAUUUAGCCUUAGCCUCUUUAUAGAGAGCUGGUAACAAUGUUAGACUUAGGUAUGGUGCGGUAUGAUAUGUUGGUGUCUUUUUAUUUGGUUCUGGCUUGUUCGCAAACCUUAUGAAUUCUUAAUUUUUGACCACAGGAAACAUCUGUUGGUCUCAGGUUCUAUGUUCAGUGAUACAUCUUGUGAUCUCCUACAUUCUCACAUUGUUGGUGGAAAGUGAGUCCAGCUGUAAAGUGCUUCCUUCAGAGACUUUUGGCUCAGGUGAACUUUUUCCCUUCAAAUUCUUAGAUUUUUUUAAAGUAAUGGUUUGCCAAAGUGGGUUUUCAUACUCCCCAGCAUGUCAAUCACUGCAGUUUGCCAGUAUCUGCAUUAAAACUGAGGAGAGAACUUUGACGCUACAUUAUGAAGGGAAAACGUUUUAUUUCGUAGUUGUCACUUAGUGAUCUAUGUGCUUGGUUUUUUGAUCAUUUACAGGAGUAGAAUCAAGUAUUCAUACAUUGUCUUUGUGUAAAUUGCUGUGCAGUAUGAGCAUACACAAACACAUUUCUAUUAAAAAAUAAAAAAGAGAAAAGAAAACUUUUAGCCCUCAGUUUUGACUCCAGGCAAAUGAACAGAGCGGCCAUUCUGGGCUCACCUCAGGGCAUCGACCUGAGCCAAAGCAAUUACACAAAUAAGCCUCUGCAGUUCAGUCCUGUGUGAGACAAGCAGACGUGCCAGAUACCUUCGCAGUUCUAAUUGAGAGAAAAAUCUUUCUGCAAACUCGCGCCUCUUAACAAUGCCUCCAACUCACGGGCCCCCUUGGGCUGUAGCUGUUUCUCGCUGCUGUUGUUUUGUCCUUCAUGUUGAGUGUUUACAUCAGUCCUUUAAUUAAUUAGCUUUAUGAAAAAACUCAGUCUUAUCAAAAGCAGGUCAGGAAAUGUUUCUGUAUUGUGCAGUUAUUGUGAUAGAAAUCUCACAUACGCUGUUGUCAAUUAUGAUUUAAUUAAUCUGAUGAUAACAAUAGCAGCCACCUGGCAUGGGAAUAGAGAGUUUUUAUGGUAUCCUUUAAAUGACUGUUAUUUUUCCAUAAAGGCAAUCAUGCAUACACCUUCAGCGUCUUACAACUGAAGCGUUCAUGUCUUUGAAAUUCACACCUUUCCCUCAAUUCUUCAGGGUGUUUAAGCUUUUUUUGUUGUGUUUUGAAAUUUUAGGCCACAAAUACAACUUUUUUUAUACCUAUUCUGCCAAAACAGGGAGCUGGUUUCACAACGAAGAACCUGAAACCCUGUGGACUAUCAUCCUGGCACCGAACAACCCACUGACAAAAGUCACGACUUACCUAACAUUUCAAUAAAAUGCUUAGAGGACUGCUAUUUCCUGGCUGUGCUGCUUAAAUGCAGUGAUUUCUCGAGAUUCUCUGAAGCUUUUGACGAUAUUACGGACCGUAGAUGUUGAAAUCCCUAAAUUCCUUGCAAUUGUACUUUGUUGUUCUUAAACUGUUUGACUAUUUGCUCACGCAGUUGCUCACAAAGUGGUGAACCUCGCCUCAUCCUUGCUUGUGAAUGACUGAGAAUUUUUGGGGAAGCUGCUUUUUAUACCCAAUCAUGGCACCCACCUGUUCCCAAUUAGCCUGCUCAUCUGUGGGAUGUUCCAAAUAGGUGUUUGAUGAGCAUUCCUCAGAUUUCUCAGUAUUUUUUGCCACCUUUCCCAACUUCUAUGUCAUGUGUUGCUGCCAUCAAAUUCUAAAGUUAAUGGUUAUUUGCAAAAAAAUAAAUAAAUAAAGUUUAUGUGUAUGAACAUAAAUAUCUUGUCUUUGUAGUGUAUUCAAUUGAAUAUAGGUUGCAAAGGAUUUGCAAAUCAUUGUUUUCUGAUUUAUUUAUGUUUAUCACAAUUUUCUAACUUCAAUGGAAUUUGGUUUUGUAGAUUUAAGUCAUUUAAAGACAAAUUCACCAAAAAGCUCUAAAAAGGUCAUGUUGACAUGGACUUGAAUUUCAUAUGAAGGGUUGUUUUUCUUUGUCUGGUGAAUUAAAUACUGAAAUAUCUGCUGUUUUUGUGCAUGAAUCCUAGUCCAGUGGGUUUAAAAUGUUGGUUUUCAAGGAUGUAGACAAAGACACAGAAACUGAUAUGACUGCUGGGUUUUAAUGCACAUAUAGAUUGGUCAUAUGUCAAUCAUUUACCCUGCCAAUAAUCCAGUAAAUGAGCUCCAAUGCUAAUUCCCUGCAGGAUGAUUGAGUUGUAAUAGUAGCCAUGACUCUUAAUGUGUCCCCCUGUUUAGGACUUAACUGAAUAAUUUAUGCAUGGGUAAAAGGAUCACUGGUAAAGCUUUCAGAAUCAAGUGCUAUUUCCAUUUCUGUACCCACAUCCACUAUAGCGGUCAUGACCUUUGCCUUGUUGUAUGACACCAGACUGAACUGUGGAUGAAAACAAAGGAGCAGGGAGACAAAUAAAACAAAAGAAACAGACAAAUGUAAGGACAGGGAGACAAAAGGGAGUACAUGUAAGGAAAAAGGAGAGGGAGUGAUAGAGCAGUGGGAGGUUUAUGCUGUUUGUCAGCACAAAGAGAGCAAAAUGUCACUUUUUGUGCAGCAUCAGUGAGUGAUGGCUGCCAUUAUCCCACCCAAUGGAUAUAAGCAGGCAAUAUUAGCACACAGUUUCCACACCCUGAUGAAACAGGCAGAGUUCUCCACAGUGGGGAUACCCAGAGCCAGCAUGGAAAAUGGAGUGUGAAAGCAUGUGAGGCAUAAAGAUUGGUGGGGGGAGAUAUAAAAAGACGAGAGGAGGGCAAUAAAGACAGGAAAAGGGAGCAGGUGUCGCCACACACUAAAGGAAAAAACCACGAGGAGGCUCGUGUCAAAUAUAGAGGACAUUUUAACAAAGGAACCAAGUGUCCCUGUUGUUUCAGAAGUUCCUGUGGUGUUUUAAAUAUAAUGGUCCCUCUCAACAUGGACCACAUGGUGCGAUCUGACAUCCGCUGAACAAAGUGGCUGAGGCAGACAUGGUGGUUUGGGGCACUGCAGUGGGACAUGGAGAGGAGUAAUUAUAGAACAGGAACACCUCAGCAGCUCUUUCAGCACAGAACAAAACUCGCAGUAAUUGUUUCAGCAGUAUGAAUGGGUGAGGAUGUGUUUGAGUCGGCGAGUAGGAGACAGAAAGAUACACUCAGAGAGGUUUAAAUGUAGUAAUAUAUGUAAAUCAUGCGGACUGGGAUUCAUGGGACUCAUUUUGAAUUGAAUGUCUGCAACCCGUUCCAAAAAGGUGGAAAGGGGAGCUUGCUGUGUAAAAAGUUAUAACCCUAACCCUAUGCACACAAAAUGUCUCAGAAAAUGUUGCUCAACAAAUCUAAUAAAACUCAGAGUAAUAUUCAUAUUUUUUUUCUCUCCUUUGAAGAGUAUAACUCAAUCUCUGGUCUCCAAUGAUAUACACCAAAUAGGCAAAAUGUUUGUCUAUUUAUUCUUGAUCUUGGAGCUUUAACUCUGUUAACCCUUUGCUAAAUUUUGCAUAUCAAGCAAUAUCAUAAAAGUGCACUUUCACAGGUAUGGUGUUAUGCUUCCCUAAAAACACUGAUCAUGCUCAUUUAACUUUUCCUACUGAUUUUGCCUUUGAAACAAAUCCAUCUCUCACUGCAGAGAGUUAAUUCCCAUCCGACACACAAUUUUGAAAUGAAAAAGCAAGCAAAUUAAAGACAUUCAUACACAGGAUGCACCCUAUGGAGGAUAUCUCCUAUUGAUUUCUUUUCCUUUUCCUACUUUUCCAAGGUGAGCAUUAGACCCAGGAAAUAAUUGUAAUUAUAAGUUUAAAUAGAAAAUUAAUAAAAGUUAAGGUGACAAGCAUGAUGUGUGAUCCUUAAAUGCAAAGUUCUGUAAUAAUAACAUUGAUUUUUAUUUGCUUUCUCAAUCACUGGCCUUAAAGGCUGCAUCUUUUGUCAGGUUUAAGCGUGAGUAGGUGUUCGAUUUAAUGGUAGUGGUUUUAUUACAAGCUAGAGUACAAUAUGAGAGGCCUGGCAUAUUAAUGAUUCAGUGGGUAUUGAUCAGUAUCCAGUCUGAUCCCAGAAGACAGGCUAUACUAUGAUUAUUGUGUGGCUGAAUAGUAAAAAUCGACAAAAAACCUCAUCGUCUGUUCAAUAACAUUCAUUGCCAAAAUGUAAUCGUAGACACAAUGCUAAACCUUUAUUGACCUGGCAGGUUUUCAUCCUUGCUUUGCUACUCCGAAAAAAAAAUAUGAAAGUUUUAAAGUCUGCCAAAAUCCAGACACUUAAAAUUGCUUUCAUUUUCAAACAGGACACCACGCUGGUGUGUCAAGAUGGAGCUGCGAAGACGAAUCUGCCUCGGUGAGUGACUCACAGUCCCCUGGGCCCUCAAUCAAUGUUAUUUUCCCUCUGAGAUUUGUAACGGCAUGUGUAAUGGCCCUUAUAUGUGCUUCCCUUGAUGAUGCAGGUAAGAAAAACAAAGUGAAUGACUCAGGAAAUCAAAGCAAUGGUAGAAAAUGGCACGAUGAGUCAGAGGUACAGAGGACAUCUUUUUUACCCUUUAAACAAGUAGCAAAGUAGCAUAAAUCCCCUGAAAAGCUUCUCUGUCUUUGUCAAUCUUAUCUACACUCUAGUACAGGAAUACACAAGGUUGAAAUAGCAGCAGAAUCCAGACAGAUAAGUCUAAGCAAUUUCAAAGCAAACCAACAUAUAGUUCAGCCCACAUCUGACCCCAUCUCAGUCCUUUUUACCAGCUGUGGCUCCCCUACAACAACUCCCUCCCCGAGCAUCCCUCUCUAUAUAAAACAAGUCAACAAUAUGAAGCCAGCAAAGCAAUCAAAACAAAGAUCUCGCUGUGUACAUUUGAUUGAGAACUGAGGGGAGGUGAGGAGAGGUGAGACUGAAAAAAACGGUAUUUCUCGGCUACAAAGACUUUCUCUCUCAGGAAAAGGUGGAAAUGAAGUGAAAAUGGUAAGGUGUCAGCAUCAAAAGGAGAUUAUUUGUUUCCAGUGUUGGAGGAGGGCAGUGACACAAGGUACACAUUAAGAGGUGGAAGAUGAUGUAGUAGCAACAGAUUUUUUUUUUUUUUAUUCCAGCCUGUUAGUACAAGUACAGCUAUGAAAGGAUUACUGAACAAGCCAAACACGGGUCAGGAAGCCACAGCUGUUUAAAAUGAGUAUUUUCUGUUGGAAAGUCAACUUCAAGAACUUUAAAGAUGCACAAACCAAGAAAUCUUUCAUAUCAGGUGCAGGGACAUGUAUGUGUAUAUAUGUAUUUAUUUAUUUAUUUUCCUCCCCCUCCCUUUUUUUUUUUUUUUUUUUGGGGUCGUGCUUGUCUUUUCUUUUUUUUUAAUAUAUAUUAGUUUGUAGAUAUUUAUUUAUUUAUUUUUACAGGUUUUACGUUUUCCCCUUUCUUUCCUUUUUUUACUGAGUUCUGCUUAUUCAUCUGUUUCCACUCGCUCAGACCUUAUUGAUGUAUGCAAUGCUGUAUUGUUGUUAUGUUCUAAAAAUGGAAUAAAAUCUGAUUAUUAAAAAAAAAAAGAUGCACAAACCAACCACAGGAAGUCACCAGUGUUUGACUUAUCCACUUCACCAACCAUGUGAUGGAGAUUUCUUUAGAAAAGACAUUGCCUCAUAAAAUGAUUUUUUUGAUAUGCUUUUCUUUCAAUAUUUUUUUGUCCUGUGUUUGGGUUGCAUCAUUUGUACUUACUACUUGUGAUUUUACUGUAUCGUCAAACUAUGCUUUUAUUUUGAAGUAUAGGCUCAGUCCUGUAGACCUGUUUGAUGACUGAAUGAAAAAGUAAAAAGAGAAAGUAUAAUCUUACAAAUGAUUGGUACUCAAAGCGACACAAGCUCUAAAAUUGAGGGGAGAUUAAUAACUAAAUAAAGACUUAAAACAACAACAAAAUCAUCGAUUGAUCAUGAUUUUUUCCUGUAGCAUCUGUAACAAUCUUAGAGGUAUUUCAGCUGCAGCCCUGAUUUUAACAAAGGGAGUAUGAUAAAAUAUAAAAACAGGAUUCAAAGCAAUAAAUAUACAUAAUUACACAUCUAAUACGUCAGCCCGUUAAGUCUCGUCAGGAAAGCAUAAUCAAGAACUUCCAUUCAGACAAAGAAUAGAUAAAGUACCGAUACAACCACAAAAGGGCACAAAACUAACACCGAGACAGAAGAAGAACAAAAGAGAGAAAAUGAAUACAAAGAGGCAUAAAACGAGCACAGACACUGACACAUACAAUAACUUUGAAAGUCUAAUUUUGUCUUUUGAAUAGAAGCAACAAAGAGAAAACAAACGACUGCAAUCGCAUCACUUUCAGUCUGAGUGGAAGUUGAGCUGCUGACAGAGGAGCUUUGUUAUAAACUGUUGCUCUGUUAACCCUGGUCUGAAGUGAAAAACUCUGUGAUGCUCCCUCAUUGCAACAAAGGAAUGGCACUGCAUUGACAACCAGACUGAAGGACAUGACUGCUUUUCCAUCAACACAACAGGAGAUCACACGGUGGCUUUAAUGUGACUGUUAUCGUUUGAUAGCUGACAGUUGGUUUAAAAUGAUCUUUAUCCUUCAAUUUCUACACAUGGUAGUUUUUUUACACAGAUUUAACCAUCUCUACAGUAACUUUGUUUUACACUUCCUGCAGACAUUUCUGGCAUUUUUCAUCAUUGAGCCAAAUGUGAUGUUGAGUUUCACUUUUGGGAAAUGAGGACAGCGUGCGUCUCUUACUCUAAUCCGGCUCUAUCAGUCGGAUGAACUUGGUUUCCCGCUGUGACAGCUGAAAAUGUGUGGGUGACAGAACAAACAAAGGUGAAUCAACGCGUUUCCCGGCGGAAGAGACAAAGAGAUUGAGAGUAGGAAAGAGAGAGGGAGAGAGUGGGAGAAAGACAGAGAGAUGAAGGUGGCAGCGCGACAUGGGGAGUGUGACAGUGUCAUGCGGGCUGGUUUCAUCGUUUCUCUCCAGCGCCCUAGGGAGAUCAUUAGCUCACAAUAUGGAGUCUAUCAAUCCUCACAGAAUACCACUCUCCCCUCCAGAUACAUGUCCCGUCUGUCUGCCUCUAUCUCUGUAUCUAUCUAUCUGUCUGUCUGUUUGUCUACACACUGCUCGAAGAUGUGAACACACGAUUAUGAAAAUCAAGUUAAAAACUAAGUUGUACGUUAGCUCGCCCUCUGGGGGUCUUUUCUGACAAAAGAGUCACCUAAUGAGAAACUAUUAGCCCUAAAUGAAAGCUCAACUCCUCCAAGUUUGUGUGCUUGUUGAUUCUCUGUGUUUUAAUUUCACUUUGCUUGAGGUUUACAAUUUUAGAGUCAAUAUGUUCAAAACAAGGGAAGCGUAGGAGAGAAAAGGCAGUUUACUUGGUGUUAGUUUGUGAGCGACAGGUCGGUGUUCAGUCAAAGCUCCCGUGACUGCUUUUGCUGACUUGAGAACGAACUGAAAUUAAAACUGUUUAAAAAAAAACGUCUUUUUGACACGUUUGUACAAGCUCAGUGUGUGCAAAGCAAGUGAGCAAAAGAUCUUUUUGCUCACUGAAAUAUGAAAAAUGUACUCCUCAGUCAGAGAGAAUUUGUCACAAAGGCCUGCCUCUAAUACAGGCCUGCUUCAAAGAGAGGCCUAGGACUUUGAACAGAUAAAGAAACUGUCUUCUAUUUCAGGAGUUCUGAUAUUGUACUGAAUUUUCCACAAAACCCUGAAAACGUGGAGUCACUUGUGAAGUCACCUGAAGUUUUAGCUUAAAGCUCCAAGCUCUUAUUAGCUGCAGAACGAGGAGUGAGGAUGUUAUGCACAUACUAGGGGUAGGACUCUUUUUCUUGCUUGGUUUGUAUUCUGUGAAAACAGUAUAGACUUUGACUUGUCUUGGCGUCCCCUGGGAAGAUAUGACUCCUUUUCCCCGUGCGCCUAAGAACUGCUCAGUGUAUAUGUGAACCUUUGACUUGAACUACAAGGAGGAAAAGGGGGCAGAUUGGCAGGUGAACAACAGGAACAAAGCUUAUAUCUAUCUAUACUAUAAAUUUCAGUGACUCACACAGUGUGUUUAACACUUUAUGGGAACAGUCAUGUGGACUGUUCUGCCUACCUCUUUAAACAGAGUUGGUUGGCGUGUCAGAUCAUGAUUUGUAUCUUUUUGCACGCAAAUUGUAUGUUACAAUGGCAUGCUGUUUAAUGCAUAACAGCCAGCCCAAGCCUCAAUGGGGCCUUAUGCAAAAUUUGAUUUUGGGGCCCUCUAUUUCUGCCAAUAAUAUUGAUUGAUGAUCACUCACCCACCUUCACAAAUCUCUUUGAUUUACAUUCCAUGACAUGCAAACAUACCUUUAUCUUGGCGUUUUUUUCUUCCUCUUUCUUUUCUCUGCUCCUGAAGGAUAUGUCUUUUUUUGCGACAUUGUUUUGCCCACAACUAACUGCUCUUUGGAUGCUCGGUGCACAUUGCACAGCAGGAGGCACAUAACGGCAGCAGAGCUUUGACAUAUCAGCAGUAAGAAUCAUAGGCCUAAAUCAGCAGCAGCGUUUAAAUGUUUUUACUUUAUUUUAUUUUUACUAUAAUAUAUAUUUGAUUAUACAGAAAGCAUCACUCAUACAUGCAAAAAAUAAAAGAAAAUUUUGAUUGCUCUUGGGGGCCCCCUAUUGGCCGCGGGGCCCUAAGAGGUCACGUAUUGUUAAAAUGUGACUGGAUGGAAAAAUCAAGCAGUUCGGUCUCACAUUUUGAAACCAUGCAGAGAUGGUACUGUGUUCUCCAAAAACAAAAAAACAAAUGCACCAGUGACCCUGAUGGCAAAGAGGUGACUGUGUCUCUAAUUGGAAAAGGAUGGCAGGCACGCACGCACGCACACACACACCAACAGAGACCCUCUGGGAGGUAAUCUCUCUUCCUGUUCCGGCUAUGCCUGACCAGCCAAGCGGAGCUGCCACCUCAUUGUGUCCUUCUGUACCAAGACCCUGUAAGGUUUUCCUGCAAGCAUACACACAGAGAAAGACAGAGAGAGAGAGAAGGAGAGAGAGAGGUAAAGCUACAAUGAGACACACGUCAUGACACACACAUACACACAGGACCAGGGCUGCAAGGAUCCCCAUGCCCUGCAGGACAAACAAAAAGAUUUUACAGAGGGUGCAGCACCUGAUUCACAGCCUGCCGUUUAAUGUGUUUGUAUCUGGGAGUGGUUGUUCACAUGUUUGUUCAUAUUGAUGGUCUGACCGUAAAACUGGCUAAAUGCACCACGGUUGCAACAUUAAAAACCAGCUGCUUUAAAUGAGGAACAAAUGAGUCCUGGCAGCACAGUACGUUUUUGUCGUAAUUAAAAAUAGGACAAAUGCAGGAAAAACAUCGUACAAGAGCUCAUAGACACACGGAGAGAGGUUGCAGGUGCAGUGUAGUAGUAUUAAGCUUCAUUCACUUAAACGGACUUUGUUGAAAUAAUUGUUUAAUUACUGGAAAACACAAAAUAUAUAUUUUUUACUAACUCAAAAUGAGCUCUUUAGGGAGUAUCCUUUUACAGAAGCCACUGCCAUGUCUCUACCACAGCACAGGAUGGACAAACUAGUGAAAUAUGCUUAGUUUUAUUUAAUAAGUAGCUGUCAUGAAGCAGAGAAAGAAGAAAGUGGUUGUUGUAGGCAAAAUAAUUGUUUUUGUAGACACUUUUUAAUUGCCUUCAACGGCCACUGACAGGAGGGGUGAGCAGGGGAGCAUCUGACUGACAGAUAUUGCUAAAUAUCCCCAUUUCCACAUACUUUAAAUUACUUAUUACGCAUGUGUUCAAGAGAUGAAAUGAUGCAGAGAGUUUCAGUGGCAAAAUAAUAAAAGACAAGCUGGUGUUUUACAAUUAAAAAAUGUAUCACAUUGUCCAGAGAGCAAACCUGCCUCUGUUAACUCACGUGGGACCGCCCGACAAUCUUGCCUUUAAAGAUUCUGACAGUGUACAAGACACAAAUGUGAGCAUGCAAAAGGCACAUGGAGGUCAAAUAAAAGUAAAUGAGCCAGGCAAUUUGAAACUCAAACUCACAAUGCAUCAACACAUGUUUAAUAGAUAUCAACGACCCCAUAAAUGUAAUUUAAAUUGAUGUAUGGGGGGUAAUAAACCCUCUGUUUAAUGGCUUCCUCUCUGCAGAAGGCCCACUUGUUCUGUUUCCUCUGUUGUACACAACUUUUCCCGCCUUCAUACACACAUACACACACACACACACACAUUUUCUGUUCCGUAUCACUCACUGUGUGUUUAUGUGAAAUCCUGCAUCCUCUUACUUUACUUUUUUCAAUUUGUUUCACCUAAGAGGUUUUUAAAAAUUCAUUAACGUUUUGCGCAAAAACACUUCUGGGACUCUCCAUAUUGAUUUCUUAUUAAUAGGUUGUUUGUUGUAAAAAAUUAUUUUCUUCUCCAGGCAAUGAAUAUGAAGAGUUGGGAUGCAGUUGGUGAAAAAACAUGGCCCUAGGAGCUACAACCAGCAGAGGGGAAAAACAUGAAUAUCUUUAUUUAUUUGAUUAAAAAAAAACAACAACAACACUGAGGUAAUCAUUCACUGUCAUUUUAUACGACAUAUACAUGCAAUAAUGAUCUCGGUCUAUUUUACUCCUUUAGCUUUUAUUUGGAUCAAUCUUUAUGUGUGUGCAUGCAUGCAUGUCAUCGAUAAUAAUAAAGAAAGUAUAUUACUGACACAAUGCAUUCUUUAAACAAUGAUUUACUGUAGAAAUAAAUAAUGUUGCUUAGUGAAUGUGUCAUGUGGUCGAUAUGGUUCGGUCACUUCCUACUUUGUGCAAAUGUUUGUGCAUCUAUAAAAGAAGAGCUGCAUGAAAAGCUUUGCACAGCUCUUUAUGCAUGUGCAGCAGUACUCCUCACAACCUGUAAACAGCUUAUGAUGUGCCCAGUCAAUAGAGUUCACCUUGGUGCAAAGUAUUAAGGCAGUGUGGUCUGCAAGUUCUGUGGCAGCUGUGUAAAAGAUCUCUUUCUACUGGUAGGGGUAAGCCAAGCCAUCCAAGGUUGUAUUUUUAUCUGUUUGUUUUUAGAAAGCUAUUCAAAGGCUAAUUUCACUUAAGUCCAGCUUUCUGCAAACAUCUGCGAAAAUAUGUAAUCACAAGGAACUUUGUCUCGUUUGUGGCGCCCCCUGUGGGCAAAACCAUCUUGCAUCUUUGAAAAAGUGUAACACUUAUUGUUAAUAUUUGCCGUGAUUUCAUUUUCCGUGGUCACAGGCAUUAAAUAUUUACAAUGGCUAACAGGGUCUGAUCUGCAACCGUCCAAAUAGUCUUCUUUGCAACAAUGGUGCAACUACAUAAACACACGCCAAAGCCCAAUUAAACUCGACAGCCAUGGAAUGCAGUGCAAAUGUUGGGAUUUGUCGCAAGAAGCCCGAACAACUGCUCAAAAAGUACUCAAAAUACGCUGAGACCGUGUAAACAAAGCAGAAACAAGACGAGAGAUUUAUUAAUGAUCAGAUUAAAAGAUACAUACACAGAGUGUAUAUACUAUGGACAACUUGGUUCCGCCUUCCUUCAGUAUACGGACCUGAAGCCGAAAAUCUCUCUGUAAUUCUGUGUUUUUUCUCAAUUUCCUGAAACCAACAUUGUGCAGUAGCGUUGUACGCACUCGGGCAGGAGAGUCGUCAAGAGUCGCUGUUAUGAUGCUUGGCUCAAACAGCGUAUUACCCCGGCUGAGUUACACAAGCCUUGUACACCCAUAGGCUGUAUCAAGUGUCAAUCAUAGAAAACACGAACCCCCUAAUAACUUUUAAAAACGGAGCUGCACAGAAGAAAAAAAGGACUUGAGCACAAACCAGGCUUACAGUAAACUUAUGUCAACAUCGCAAGCAGGGGGUAAAAAUUUAUAUUCUGUGUAAUAAAUUUCUAAAGUUUGUCCACAGCUCUAUAAGCUUUGCUGGUGGAGGCGGGAUUUAUGACCUAUACUGCAGCCUGUCAACAGAGGGUGCUGUUCUCGGAGUUUUAGUUUCUACUCCAAAACUUAACCCAAAGUACCGGGUUCAGUUCAGGAAAGUUUGUGGUUUACAAGUGGCUUUCUUGAUUAAUUCUAGAUCUUAGUGAUGUAAGCUUUUUGACAUUUACGUUUAUCUCAAGGGUAACACCUAAAGUUGAGUUCACUGCAGACAGAGAUGAACCCAAACCUCCUGGGUGAAUGUUUGGUCUCAGUUUGAAUCCUGCUCCAUCUUUACUAUGACUUUCUGUGCCAUAUACAACGACGGCUGACUUCCUCCUUUGCUCUGUCCAAACAGCCACUAAAGGUCACAUAAGUUACUUGCACUGACAGUCUACAUUCAUAUUUGUGGGAGAAAGGUCUGCUCUGGCAGAUACACCACACUAUUACAGCACAUCCACUGUAGCAUGUGUUGAGCAGCUCUUGUUACCGCGUUAUUGAAGCUGUCAUCCUGAUUCAGUCUAUUUACCGCCUUUUUCGGGGUUUGUUUACUGCACACUGUAACUCAUGCCACCAACAGACAGACCAUUCCUCUCCCCUGAACGUAUAAAACUUUUACUGGGCUGACAAACUGCAACCGUCGGCUGGAAGGCCGGGAAGUUUGGGAAAGGAGGAGGCUGGCGAGGGAAGAAAAGAAGGGAUUUAUGGCUGCUUGUAAAUUUGUCUAUCAGAGCUUUCAUUCUUAUCAGCUACAUUUGCUCUAUUGGCUUCACAAUGAGCUGUCUAGACUGCACUCCAAAUGAAAUCAAUUCUUCCCUUCUCACACAGUACAUUCUACUUAAAAUGAGAAGCUGUUUUAUUUUGGGAGAGAGGGGAAUAAAAGAAAUGUUACUUUGCUAGCUGCUAAACACAUUUCAUUAGUGGAUGGAUCGUGUUUCACACAUCAGCGAGAACAAGGAGGAUGAAUGAGAAGUAACAGAAAAAAGGAUUUAGAGAUGUGGAUUUAUGCGAAGCUGGAAAACUCACCUUUCUGUUGCACCAGAAUCUCUCUCAUUAGCUUUAUGAAUUUAACAUCAUGGCGGGGAAAGCCAGAGUACUGAGUCGGCCCGCUCUGUUUGUUCGGGGAGCUGGUGAUUAUUGUUUAUUACUUCAAUAAAAGCCAUACAAUCCUCUGCCUUCCUGCGCCCAGCUGGUAGAAUGACAACUUAAAUAUUCUGAGCCGUGCAGCUGUAAAAUAAAAACAGAAUGAGUAAAAAAUAAAGAGUGUGCAGAAGCUGGCGAACUUCCCCUUCGGUUUUUCUUUUAUUUUUUUAUACACCUCCAGUUUUGGAUCGAGAAAUGGACCCACACUAAAAACAGACGGCUUGGCUCUUCAACAAUGAUUAAUGUAAGGAUUCUGUUCUUUACCGGCAUGCGUUCACGUCCCCACACACUCAUAUACACUCUUACAAAGUCUGAUUCACACACAAACAAGCACAAACCCACACAAAUACGCAAGUACAAACUAAUCACAUGCCCAGAGGACACGACAUAACGAGAUAAACCACCACAAUUUUGCAUGCACAAUAAUUACAGCAGAGUAUCAUACAUACUCUGCACCAAUUAAGCUAACGCAAUUAACUCCAGGGCCGUGGAGGAUCUUCGAGGCUUCGUGAACCUUAUGAGGAUUUGUAGCAAGUUCCAGUCAAUCCUUAUUUCAAAUAAUUCUUCAAAGUAUCAUGUAACCGUCUGUGUUGUGCACCUGUGGAGUAUUAGGGGGGCAGUUUGGCUCUGAUUAGAUUCUCUGUCUCUGGCGGGGAUUGUGUUUUGUUGUCUCUGCCAAACUGUUUUGCUUUUGCGGGAACGCUUGGAUCACUAGUUGUCUCCUUUGGUUUUCUCCUCACAAGUCUUUUUUGUAAUCAUCUCUGCUCCCUCUUCACAUCCCACCUCUCUCUCUCUCUCCUCUCCUGUCUCUCCUGGCUGUGACGAGGGCCACUGUAGGCGAUCGAUACCUGACAAUGUAGCAAAAUCAUAUAUUUUUCCUCUUCUUUAACAAAUUCAAUUUGGUCCUUAACAUUCCAGUGGCUUUAAUUAGAUGCCCACGGUAGCAAAUUGCAAUUUACAUUUUUAUAGUUUUUCGAGUUAAUUAGCUUGCUCACUCAGCCAAACCCGACUUGUUUAUGCCCUCCUCCUUUCUUUUCUCAUUCUGCCCCCUCGUCUACUUUUUUUAGGCCUUUGCUUGUGUUUACAAGAAAAAAAAGACCUAAUGCCACAUGAUUCCUUCUCAAUAAACCAAAUAAAACAUUAAUCUUACAAACACUGUCUUUGUCAGCUAUUUGGAAGUUGCAAGGGACCAUUUUCACCAAAACAGACCAUUCAAAAUUAAAUAAGUCGUCCCAUGUCUUUCUUGUUAAACACUAUUCUUCAACUCUCUGUGCUCAAAAUGGAUGUGUUAUAUUACAUUUUCUCUUUCUGUGGCGCAGACCACAGCUGUGACCCAGCAGCAUCAAAGUGGAAAUAAGUGAUAACAGUUUUUUAUUGAUCAUGUCCAACAGUUUCACCUGUGUGCAGAUAUAGGUGCUGGAUUCUGUCAUAACCUCUUUGUUAUAGAUUGUUGUGUUAUUUAAAACAACCAACUCAUCGGUGUGUAUCCCAGAUAACACAUAUCAUACAUUUCCAAUGAUAUGUCUCCACUCAAGUAAAGCCAAUGCAUACAGUACCCAUUUGACAUUUGAUUGGAGGGUUAUCAGAUCAUAAAAAAUGAUGAAGCAGAAGUUUUUCUCAAAGAGAGGAAAUAACUGAGUGUUCCUCCUUAUUGAUUUGUCAAUUUAAUGACUACAUUUAUUGUUUCAAGUUCUGCUCUUGCUCUUUAAUGUUUGAUUGGUUCCUGUUGUUAUAACUGAACUUAUUAUGAACCCACCACAAUUACUAAAAUACAAACAAAGAUAGCCGCUAACAUUGCACCUAAAGGGGGUAUACAUCUGCUCUGAAGCAAAAGAUGUUUGGUGGCUAGUGCUGUGGCUGGAACCCUAUAUGUACUGUUGUUGAAGUCAGGUGCUGUUCUGAGCAUGUAACUUAUUUGUUUCUCAAGCUGGGUUUUGAAGCCCAUUGGGGGUGGUCACCAUAUUGGAAAUGGUGACUCAACCUAACUGCAGUAAACCAUGGCUUCAUUUCUCAAGACCAAAGAGUGCUGCUUGGUUUAAAGUCAGCUUUAACCUUAUCUCUUUGCCCCCGUCUUGGUUGAGGGCUUUAACAUGCCUCUACACAAACCAACAGGUCAUGCCUGUAACUGUAUCCUCAUCCGAAAGAGUCUGGGGAUGAUCAAAUUGGGCACCAAGCAACAUUCGCUUUAAAAGUUUUUCAUUCUCCUAUGUCAGAAAAGUCUUUUUUUUUCCUGGUAUGUUUGGAUUUUCUCAUAAAUUUAACAUUUUAAUCUCAGCGUACUGACGUCAUUCCUUGGGAAUUCUCUACAGAAACCUUGUAAAUUCUGAGUUUUUACUUUUUAUAUAACCCCAGUCCUGAUUUAUACCUAAAAGCGUAAACCACGCGUGUUUUAGAAGGGUGCUACUCUGUGGAAUAUUAAAAGCUAAAAGCAUUGCUCAGUAAAUAGCGGUUAUAGCCGGCAGCUAGGGCGAUACCCUGACAAAUGACAGACCACAAACACUGAACACCUUUGUAACUUUACUAAUACAUCCACUCCAACCUUGAGUUCAAUCUCAAAUAAGGUAAAAAAAAAAAAAAUCAAACUCCUCUUCAAACCAAAACACACCCAGGGUUGCCCCAGAAAUGAAUAUCUCUGUAGAGCUGCCCCCUGCCAAAAUACAGCUGACCUGAACUGCUGGCGGCAUACGUGCGAAGAAAUAAGACUGCAGAGUGAGCGUCUGACCUACUGCUGUCAGAGAGAGAGAAAAAAAGACAAGACACACUACCUCCUUCUGUAACUUGUCUGACAUUCCCUCGUUUCUUUAUCCCAACCCCAUUACUAUGUUUGCUCUAAAACUAAACCUUCUUUUUUUACGACGAGAGAAAUCCUCAGGGGAGAGAGAGCGAGGUGAAGGAGGAAGGCAAAGAGAGAGAUGGGAGGAAAAAAGUCUGAGUGUAAGAGAGGUGGAUAGAAAGAGAGUCAGUCAACGCUGCAAUCAGCUGUGCAGACAGGCAAGUCACCUCUACUGUCAGUCACCACUCCCUCCUGUGACCAGAGGACUAAAUGAAACAAGGCCUUAGAGGUCCUCCAUGUUGUCUUCUAUUUCAUCCUCUUCCUUCAUCACUCUCGAUCUCCUUAACACACAUCAGACAGUCAGUCAUGGAGACUGUGGGGCUGGUUAAGGGACCAAAGACCUGCCAGGAGACCAUGUACACGCUGACCUCCAUUACAGCACAAUUAAAUGACCCGUGUCUUCCUCCAUGGUAAGACAGCACUUGACUCUUUCCUUUUCUUUUUCUAACAAGCAUUCCCCUGCCUCCCUUUUCUCACACCAUCCCGUUGUUCCUCAUUAAAACAUCACAACCACUUAGUGAAGUCUUCUCUGACAUAAUACAGCAUGUUGUUUCUCUCUUUUUUUUAUGGGACUAAGGCUAUUACCAGGACAGACAGGGACUAAUGUCUUUUUUAGCCGCUAAUUGCUCGUGUAUUCUGAUAAAAAUGAGGUCAGAGGUUCAGGAAAAUCUCCCAUCCGGGCUUGAAGCGAAACAUCAAUAGAGAAUAAGUUACAACCUGAUGCUGUAUACUGCGAUUAGUUUAAAUGAGGAGAGUAGAAACCUGAGAGCCAGUGAAAGCGCAGAAACAGAGAGUUUAUCUUUUCCUUUUAAAUAAAAUCAAUCUUUUGUUUGCACACUAAAACAGUGUUUGCUAAUUUAGGAAAGGCAAAUAACUCUAGCCCAAAUCUUAAAACAACAACAGAAGGAAAAAAAUGUUUCUGCAUCCAAAAUCCACAUGCUAAAUUAAGGAUAUCAUCCUACUUAAGUAGGGUUUCUUUUAAGUUUCAGAGAACUGAGAGUGCAGAAAAAAAGGCCCCAAUUUUAAAGUCUGCAGGGAUACCUCGGCACCCCGCAGGCUGCAUCAUUACAGGCGAUAUUUUGGUGGAAAACAUGCCCUGAAAAGCAGCUCCUGGCUCUGAGGGUACAGUGUUUGAAAUCACACAGAAUCUUUGAAAGCAGACUUUAGUGUUUCUUUGGAGUUUCCAAAGCCGCCCCCUUCGACACAACCCUGUGAGCUGGUUUUGUGCUCACCUCUCUCAGAAUCCACCAUUCUCGUCUAAUUAUAGACUGCUUGUUUGUCUAUAGGCCCGACUGCGCCUUUGAAUCCAGAUUGCUUUUGUCAUGUUUUCCUGUCAGCUUGUACGUUUUGUUUUGAAGUUCUUUUCGAUUGUCCAAGACUUUUUCUUGUUGGCUUUGCGCAGGCGAGUAAUGCAGUAGGUUUUUCUUUGCUCGAACUUGAAACCGAAGGAGUAAACAGAACCAAGACACCAGCCUGAAAAAAAGGAGGUCUAAUCUGUGCCUGAGGUAAAGUAAGGAGAGUGUGAGGACAUGGGGGCUGGGAGGAAAUCAAGAGCCCUGACCUGCUGUUCCAGCCCCUAUCUGCUAAUUAGUCCUAUUCACUAACCAGAUGCUUAUAAUUAAAUUUACAUGCAGCGGUGAAUAGCCGGAUAAAAAAGAACAGAUCCAUCAGGAGGCCCACGAAGGAGGCGUUCAUCGACCAUCACAUGCUGUGUAAAAAUACACAAGAACAUAAAAAGCUCAUUAAGAGAGACAAUAAAGGGAAGAGACCCCCGGAGCACUUCAAACACCAUCUUGAGCUGUGCCCCUGGAAGCAUCCACCCACCUUCACCCCUCCUCUCCCUCCCUUCUCCUCUCUCAUCCUGUGUCACGAUUCCUCUCCACCAUUCCCACAGCAUUUCCCUCCCUCAUUCGUGUUUGUGAAUUUUCACCCCCCACUUUUUCAUUAUACACCUGUCCGGUAGUGGAUUUUUUUUUGUUGUUGUCACAGACAGACCCUGCUUUCCUCUGGAGAUCCAAAGAGCAGAGGAAGAAGAAGUGGAGGAGGAGGAGGAGGAGGAGGAGGACGGGAAGAAUGAACAAGCUCCUGUUUAAUGCAGACUUGGCAUGGUGCCCCUGCUGAUGGAUCUAACUGCAGUAGCAAAACAACAACAACACUGCACAACAAAAAAGCCUUACUCUUACUCGCUUACUCCCACUUGGAUGCUCUGGCUAGUUAAUUAUUGCUCAGAGCUAUUUAAAUACACCUAAUUAAAACAAAUGUAAAGUAGAUCAUUAGUUGAAAGAUGUUUGCUCCCUGUUGUAGGGGAGCAGGCUGUGAGGACAAACAAACAAAGGGGCAUUCAGCACUGCUCUGUGGUCAGCGACUGCUAAGAUAUUCAUCAAGAGCAAGGCAGAUGGAGGAUAAACCGGCACGUAAAUGCCAUUACUGUUUUUUCCUGUCUAUUUUUAAAAAGGCAAACAACAGUUUGAUUCCCAGCAGCAACCAGCGGGCUGUGAGCUGAUCAAACAAAGUACAUAUAGAGGGCAGAUCAUCAAAAGUAAAUAUCAAAGGAUCCGACAGCCAGAGGUCUAAUUGCUGUUAUUUUCCAGGAGGUCUUUCCUUCUUCUGUAGAAAAAUAAACUCAUCCUAGUGAGAGCCACACUGGGCUUUCACUCGGAUGAAAGGAAAUAUAUUUAACAGGCCUUUUAAGGUAUUAAUAUACUAUAAUAUAAUAUAUAAUAUAACAGGAGCCCAGAUGUUAAGGUUAACAUCAAAAAUGAAUGCUCAGCUUAAUGCUAUUUAGCUUACGUAUAGACCCCGACAAUGUCACAGUUGGUGCGUUUACAUGCACAGCUGAAAGGGAUAUUCUGACAUUAAAUUAAGUUAGGGUCAAACACACCGUAACAGCGAAUUAGACGCCCCGUCAGGAGAUGAAUGUUGCCAACUGCUUGCUUCUCUAGUUACACCAACUUAAGUAACAACCACAGAUAGCAAUAAAGAGAGCCAUGCACUCAACCAAAAGGCCACUCUAUAGCCACAAAUAAUGCUCAGAACAGCACCUAACUUCAUCAACAGUACAUGUAGGGUCCCAGGGCUCAAGGAAGAACAUUUAUUCCUCGCCCGAAGGUCUCGCUACAAACAAGCGGCUGCUGGAGGAGAGUAGGUGAGUUGUGUUUAGUCUCUAGUCUCUUUAGUCAACCACAAAAUGUCAAGACUGACAAACUCUCAGUUCAUCGUCACGAAUCACACUUUGAUUUUCGUGUACCUCCUUUGGUUGUCCAAUCAGAUCAUCCAGCCACAGAGCAAACAAGUUUGACAGGUUGCUGUUAUUUUUAAGUUUACUUAUUCAAGAAACACUCUUCAAAUUUUCUGCUGUUGUCUGAGACAGGCUAAAAACAACUUAAUCCUCGGUGCUAAUUAACAUGUCAAAUAGGACUGUUCUGCCUCCCUCUAAGCCCCGCCCAUCAACAAAUGUCAUACAGUUUAAAACGUGUUUUUCUUUCUUCCUAAUAAGACAGGAUUCAUUAGACGGUUGUAUUAUAGCCAGCAAAUUUAGCCGCAUCAACGGUUGAUUUGUUUCAAACUAAAAACUUUACCAAAGUUUGUCUGAGUUGUUGUUAAUAACCAUAUUAAUUCACAGAACAAUAAUUCUGUGCUGCUACUCUCUGCUCAAAAUGUCAGCCUGUUAACCGGUUUGGAAGUAAAAAACUGAUGGAUUGGAUCACAUUUUGUAUCCUGUCGGACUCUCUCUUUUUCACAGAUAUUUUUUAUAUCUACUUCACUAUAAUAAAGGAACUUUUUCCAUCAUGGCAGUUUCUCCUCUAGACAGAUUUAUUAGUAUUAGUUUACAUUUUGAUAUAUCCCCAGACUCUGUAGCAACUCUACAUCAGGCCUUUUAAAUUGAGAUUCUGUAACAGUGUAAGAAAGAUUCACUGUCGCAAAGUCUUUGCACACUUAAAGGUGGGGUAGGCAGGAUUCUGUUAAAGAAGCAAAAAAGCUUUUGAUAUCAGUCAAUAGCUAUUAGUUGUUGAUGACAUUUGGUAAUAUAACGAUAUCGCUGUGUUUCGUUAUGUCUGUGUAGUCAACAUUUUAGCGGCCCGCUCUUUCUGACUGUAAACAAAGCCGUUCUCCGCCUCCCCCAACCUGAUUGGUUGUGAGGCACGCUCCAUGUCCUCCAAUAACAUGCAUGAGCCCAAACAAAGUUAGCGUGCUACAACAUCGGACAGUAGAAACCAACCCGAAAGUACGGAAAACACAAGUAAUAAAACAAAGUAAACACAGGAGACUCUGGGGGAAUAACGGGCGCUUAAAAUGAAGGUAGACCAGACAAGAGCUAAGAAGCUGGGUCAACAUCAGCAUAAACGAUGGGGGACGUUUCGGGAUCUUACGGACCCUGUAUCCUUUCUGCUGGACAGGUAAACCGCUUUAACAAAGUAAGUAAAGUGUCUGUAACAGAAGUGUUUCUUGUUUAACGGGACCUGCUGCGUGUCGUAGCGCCGCUAAACUGUCCUCCCUCGGGUCCUGGACUAUGUCACUUUAUCCUCGUUGUAGAAGUCCUGCAAACAUUGUGUUUGCUGGUAGUCUGUUGGCAUCUACAGUAGCACCAAUGAUGUUUACUUUCACAUUGACUGGGCCCCAUUUGUAAUGAUCUGAAGUAUUUAUCUGCAUUAUAUCUGAAAUCAAUUGAAACGAUACGACCGAGCAGGAGCGUCUGUUUGUGGGCGGGGCUUGCUGGAGCAGAGAGGGCGGAGAGAGGAGGAGCUGAGGGGAGGUCAAUGUUUACAUUUAAGAUUUCUCCCAAAAACUGGCACUUCCCAGAUCCUGCCUACCCCACCAUUAAGCUGAGGCCUGCAGUAGUGGUAUAUUAGUGCUCUACAAUGACAUUUACAAUAUCAUUUGCUCUAGUGUGUGAUUUUACGCUGUGUUACUGGUUUGGGAUACUUGACAGAUACAUCAUGUGAGCCACUGUUGUGAUUCUUGGAUAUAUACACAAGACCCUUAAGAGUCAGACAUGGUACAUGACCAAGGCUGUAUUUCACUGGCCCUUAUAUACACUGUGACAAGCCAAAAUGUCAUAUUUGGGUGGACAUCUAAUAAAAUUUAGCCCUACAAGAUGCCAAAUUACUCUGAAUAAGAAUUAUCUUUCAACUUUGAGGAGAAAAGAAGAAUAAGGUGCGAGGUGCAGUGAAGUAAAUCAGAGCAGACCCGUUCCCCUCUCCAGCAGUAUGUUGAAGGCCCUUCUCCUGUGGCAGCCUGUAAUUAACUAUUGACCGCGCCACCAACAGGAACCAAGAAGCAGUAGACAAAGAACCUAGACUAAAGGCUAAUAGCCCGAGAAUGUGAUACAUCCCUUAAAGGCCUUUUUCCUCCACUCUGCUCAUCACUUCUCCCAGUUUAGGCAGCGUUUCAAAUCCGCACUGAGAUGAGCUGCUGCAGCCGACACAUACUGCAGUGGCUUCAGUCUUCCCUGAAAAUCUAUGGCUUUGUUUGAUCCCAGUCUAACAACAGUUACGCGCUCAUACACAUCCAUAAAUGCAUUGCUUUGCACGUACACAUACACCUGUUUAUGUGAGUGUGAUUUUGCUGCCAAGGCAAAGCAAGACGGAAAGAGGAGAAUCCUCAAUAUGACAGUGGUAGAAUUUGAUAAAAGUAUUACAGCUGGAAAAUUCAGCAUCCUGGUGCGGGGACACACUCUAACAGAGCAUCUCUACAUACACUCACACAAACACACGCCACAGGGACCCUGUUUGUGCUGCCCACAGUCUGACAGGGGCCCAUAUGCAUAACACACCCACACACGUUAUAUUAUAUAUGCACUCAGAGGGAGAACAAAUAGCCUUGUAGUUAGGCACUGCAGCACGCUGGGGUCGAGUCCCCAUAGGCUGAACAGCAUGCAUCGGAUAAUAAAGUUCCAGUUUUUUAAGCAUUAAACCCCAAAGAUGAUUCAUUCUGUGUUUUUUUUUUUUGUUUUAUUAAAUAAUCUAUAGAAAGUAAUUAUUCUGAAAGAUGUGAGAAAAUAGAGAAGAAGAUGGAGACCUGAGAUAAUUACCAGUUCAUCAUUACAUCUGCACAUUAGGUACAGCCACAUAAUGCAAAUUCACAAUAAUUAACGGAGAUAUACUAUAUUUUACGCCUGUCAAUCAUCCUCACCCAUAUAUGUGAGGAAUAAUUACCACCUGCAUCACAUCUUUGCUCCGCACCUGUAAUUACAGCAAUGCUAUGCAGAGUGUCCAACCACACAUGUGAUUGAAGCUCUUCUAUGUGUGAGCUGUCCUCCCACUGCAGAGCCACAGAACAGGAUGAACAAAUUGUGUAUAGUUAGCGCAGGCCAGACUGGUGGAUAAAGCAGGAUGGAUAAUUCAAAGGCACUGGGAGAGGACACACGCUUGCUUUGCUGGUCUCCAUGGUCUCCAAACAAGCCUAUAAAUUUUCAUAACUGGUGGGUGGACCGUAGUUGGCGCUGCAAGUGAGCAAAUGGCUCUGUCUCAGGAAUCAUGAAUAUCAAUGAAAGACGAGGAAUAUGACCGUACUGCAGGAGCAGGGACUGGGCUACAUUUUCCCAGCAAAUCCAAACCCUAAACUGGACCGGAAAAUUUCCCGUGGCUCAUAAUCACUGUUGUGUUUAAUUUCUCAUUGUGCCUUGAUUAUGUUUUCACAAUGGAGUUCCUUAUAAAUGUGAGUUUCUAUGAAGGCUGUUAAGAUGUAAUCAGUGCCAUGCUGACUUUAUUGCAUACCUGCACAUUCAUUAUGUAAAGUGAAGUACAUUAAUUUGAUGGUGGUGAAGUGGUAGAGGUUAAAAUGCUGAAAAAGUAUAAAUGUAAGGCAACACAAUGUCUAACAAAAGAAAUCAGUUGAUUACUAAUUGUGGUUUGCCAUGUUAGCCUGUGACAAUAAUCAUUAAAGCAUUGAUUGCCCCAAUGCAAUCAAUGCUGAUAACCAUUGCUAACAACUAUUGCUAACAAGAAUGGCAGCAUGACUUGCACGACUUUGGGUAUUUCUCUGGUUCUUGCCAGAAAUCUGCAAGUUCUCGUCCCACCCAGCACAGAACAGAAAGCUGGUUGCUGUACUUCAAAAUCUGAGCCAAAGCUUGGAGAGCGUCUCGUAGUAGCAGAUGGUGGAAUAAGUGAAAGGCUGAUGAAAAACUCACUCCCAUGCUCGAGCAUGUUUAUCAUUUUCAGACCGAGGAAACCUUGCCAUACGAACUGACAGUUGCGAUGAGAAUGUUUAAUGCGAGUUUUGCUGCCAAAUCAAGGCUAUCAAUCAUCUUUUCUGUGGUCUCAUUUUUCAAUAGUUUUACUAAUAAAUCACUUUUCUGACGAUGAUUUAUUGAUGUUUAAUAAUGUGUGGUGCAGCUCUCUAGUAUUUCAAUAUCCUACCUAUAUGCAGUGAGGGAACUUGUAGGGGGCAGAUUUGAAAAAUACAUGCAAAUGAAUCAUUAACAUGCAUUUAACACCAAUGCUCUUUGACCCAUUUAUCUGAAAAUUGCCAUUUUUAUUGGAUAAUAGGAUGGGACUAAAGUUGGCAAACACUGAAAGAGCUUUUGUGAGGAACUUUGGUUUUGGUCAUCAAUUCUACUGCCCCCUGGGGAGAGAAGUGAGUCUUAUUACUUUGACGCCCUUUUCUUGUACAGGUAGACGAACAGGUCUGUUUAUCUGUUUACAGUUAACUAUCUGUGUUACUUUUUAAUUUAACUAUGAAUAUAGUCGUAUAGGAAAAGAUCUGAAAAGAUGACACUAGUUUGUUGUUGUUGCUCCUGACAACCAUUGUGCAGACCUCAAUCCCAUAUUCUUUGUAUUUUGUAAUGUUAAAUUCCAGCCAGUUUUACUUACCUGCCAUACUGACUUUCCCUUGGUAACAUUCAAGUUAAAUGUCUAAAAGCCAUUUGGUAAUAAAUUAUAUAUUUAACAGGCUAAUUUCUAAUUUAAUUGAAAAGCAUUAAUGAGUCCCAGAGCUGGUGUCCAUGUUUGAAAAUAAUUCUGACUGUUUAGUCAGAAUAAAUGGAAAAAUGGAAAGUGGUCGUUACCUGUUGGAGAGUCGAUAGUUAGAGGAGUCAAUGGACAUAUCGGCCCUUCCACUACAAUAGAAUUAUGAGCAGGAUGGAUGGUUGAACCAUGACAUCGAUAUCUACUUAUCUAUGUGUCCAUCUUGAAAUCGGCUGAGAGGAAUGUGAUUAAAAGGCUGUGUGAUCCAUGCUUUCAAUUUUAUUGAUCUCUCUAUACAAACCAUUACUAGAGCACACACACACACAUACUGUAGACCCAACAUCUCAUCCAUAUCUAUAAAUAUCAACCUGAGGUAGACUGACUGACGACCUUAUAUCCUCUCACACAGACUCACACUGGAGUAACGCCGGCUUUCAUUUUGCUGGGGAAAAGCUCGACAGCUAGUUUGCUGUGAAUUUAAAGCGAUAAGCUGAGCAGUGGCGAGCCGAAGCUAUUCCUGGACGUUAGGUGCACGGCCAGUGCUGGGAGAUUUAUCUCCUCCUCUGAAAUUUCAUUUGGGGCAGGAAUAAUAAGGCAUAGGAAAUGAAAGUUAAUCAUGAAACCUCCCUCACUUCUUCCUCUUCUCUCUCUCUCUCUCUCUCUCUCUUUCUCUCUCUUUCUCUGACACGGGCUUUAAGAGCUCAGCUGAGGCCUGCUUUUGCUGUGGAGUCUUUUGUCUUUUUUUUCCUCCCUUGCAACCUUUUAAAUGCUUCAUAAAUCAGAAACAAGACGCACACUUCUGAUGGUUUGUUGUCCCGCAGAAACUAAUUACAAUGCGAGAGCCGGUGAAACAACCAAGAAUGAAAUGAAGUAACAUCCAGCAUUCAUUAAAAAAGGUGGACAGGUUCAAGAAUGUUUGAGGCCCAAGUUGUAGUGCGUCUUUCUUAUUAUAUCUUUACAAGGAUACACCUAUAUUUCUGCUCAAUAGGACAAGAGCAUAUGAGAUAACAUGGAGGAGUGUUUUGCUCCUGAUGGACUUGUACCAGAUACUACGUUCCCACAAAAAACAAGUCCGUCUGUAAGAACCAAAGGGAAACCAUGUCCAGAUUUACUGCUUCAACUUAUUUGCAAUGAAAAAUGGGACAAUUUCUGAGUCCCAGUGUUUGGCAAUACACUUAAAAUCUUCUUUUGAUUCUCCAUGGAGCUGUUUUCUUGUGUUAACACUGGACUUAAUGACUCUGAUUUAUUUGAAAUUUUCACCUGUAUUGCUAAAAAACUGAUAGUCUAUCUCCUCUGGAGCCUUUUAGGGGCUGACAUCUCAACAAUGUCACAGUAGUAGCUGGAGGCAAGACAAAGCUAAACUGGAGAGAAAUAAAGCCCGGCUCACCCUGAAAUAUUUUUAGAAGCUUAGCUGAUUUUAAAAAUGUCAGAGACAGGGAUUUAACAGUUUUGUUUCUGUAGUGUGUGGUGUCAACAAUGUGGUAACGACAACACACAACACAUAUGGAGACAUGAGAGGCAACAGGAGCUAACCCUUGCUAGCUUCUUAGCUUCCUGGUUCAUCUAAAGUAGAAAUUUUAUCAGAUGGACUCGAUAUUUCGGAUGUCUGUCCCAUGUAAUGCUUCAUGUUUACUGUCAUUGCCAUAGUUGCAUUUUCUGUGUUCCUUCUUUAAUCAGCUCGUUUCCAUACCCACCCACCCGCAUAAGUAUUCCUGAUUGCAAACUACAAAACAAGUUUAGUAUCUAGGUUUCGAGUUGGGGAGGCCUUGAAUGUCUUAACACACCUCUUGAUAAUCUGCCAAUAUAAUCUUAACCAUCCAACAAUCAGGCCUUUGCUGACUUUUGAGAAAGAGAAAUCAGGCACAAAAUCAGCAUGAUUAUUUCGCUGUGUGUGCCCCACUUCAGGAAUCUUAGCGUAAUACUUUGUGGUUUUUGGGUCAAAAAUAAAAAGAUUAACAGUACUGUCUCAGUGAUGAAAUUCUCCCAUAUACCUGUGAUAAUCCCAUUAAUCAGCGCUAAUUUAAUCAAGUGAAAUUAUCAGAUGUUUAAAGACCCACUCUGAUCAAAAUCAUCUUUAUCUUGUUGUCUACAUGUUCAUAUGGCAUUUAUCUGAUCCUUCAGGACACAUCAUGAGAAAACUAAUUGCCCCCAAAUGGCAGGCUCAGACACAGUGAGAUUUCUUACAUCACAAAUCCAAGCUCCACCCCCUGAGCCCCGCUCUGGAGACCAGACCCUGAGAAAUAGAGAAGACAAUCCUGGCUCAAGCGUUAGUGGAUUGCAUUGCUUGCAAGAAAGCUACUUAUGAUAUUACCUUUUAUCAUGCUGCCAAAGAAAUUAGCAUCCAAAAGCUGAAUAGCUCCUAUAUUAGCUGCCACUUUUGUGACACCGACAACGUUAGGCUGCAAGCUAACUUGAAGAGGAGUAUGUUUUGGCUAAAAACUUCAUAAUCACAAUUUAAAGACCACUGAGAACACUUUAAAUAGUAAAAAAAAAUCAUAGGAGUGGGACUUUAAGAAGCCAAAACAUCAGGUUAUUUAGAUUACAGGGUGCUCUUUGGAGGUAGGCAAUUCUGAGAGACAUAUUGAACGAGGAGAGCCCAACAGAUGAUCAAUUAAUUUGUUUUUAAAGUAACCAAGGACUGAUUUUUUAAAAACUGUUUCAAGCUAACAGAGCAACUUAAUUAAACAACCUUUUAAAUGACCCGAGGACCUGCUGUUUUCCAGUAAAACAUUCAACUAAACCUGCUGUGUAAAAGGCUUCAUAUUAUCAUAGUGAAUACAGAGCUGUUUAUGGCUGAAGUUUAUGAUGAGGAACAUGAAGAGUGAUCUUUACAAGGCACAAAGAUUUAAAGGAUUGAGUUUUAUGGUUUUUGAGCGAUGAUAGCGAAACCAAUAUAAUAUUCCGCUAGAGCCGAUUUAAUUUAGAUCACGAGGUCAGGGCGUUAGUUGGGCCCACAUGUGAGCAAACACACCAAAAAUAGCCACUAAUGUGUUAGAUGGAGUGUAAUCAAGAGCCUGAAUGCUACUAUUAAGCAGUGGUUGAUGAAUCCAAUCUUCUUCAAGUGAAAGGAAAGCCGCUGUCUGUCAUUCUUCUCAGCAAGUCACUUAACCUGGACGGCUUGUGUAAACACUCUGUGGGAUAAAUGGGUAUUAUCUUAGAGGAGGCCAAGAGCCGCCAAAGCAGAGGGGUGAUGGAACUAACUAGAAAAAAACUAUCGCUUCCACUUCCUGGACAAUGAGGAACCCUGUAAUAGGUAUUUGUGUGAACGUGUGUCUGUGUGCUUUGUGCAGCAGGGGGAGAAAGAUCGAGAGGCGGCAAUAGGAAGAGCUAGUCAAAGAAGAAGGGAUAAAUAAAAGAGAGAGAGAGAGAGAGAGAUCACUGUAAUGAGGUGUCUCAGAUGCUGAUGUGUUUUCGGAGACACACAGCGUAGAGGUAACAGUUCUCUGAGUGGGGUGCUUUAGCAUGUGCUCCCCCUGACCAAUUCAAGCCGAUCCAGAUUGCCUUUCAUUGAUGUGAUGGCUGCUGUGUUUACCUGCUGGUCUGAGAGAGGACAGAAGACUUUGUUGUUUUCUUUCUUGUUGCUUUGUUUAUCUCUGCUGUUCAAAAGUUAUCAAUGCUUUCAUUACACCUCGUCUGGACUACAGUCAGUCCCUGUACAUGAGGGUCAGUCAGUCCUCCAGCUCAUAUCUGCUAAACUACCUCAGAUGUCUGAACACUUUUAUGGGCUCUUUCAGGUCAUUGGCUCUAACUGCCUCCCUGCAUGUCAGCAGCAUGUGCAGUUUAUAGCAACAUUUUUACACACAGAGCACGUACUGAGUGCAUAACCCUUUUUUUUUCUUUUACUUGCACUGCCUCAUUUUCAAAAGAGUGGGACUGUACAGUGUUAAAAAUGAUGACAGUGAUGCGUGUAGUCAAAGCAGCUAGAAAGCAGGCAGAUCUACGGCAAUAAAACAUCUGCAACAGUGAUCCAGAGGAACCUACAGCAUGAUGGAGCAGAUGGACACCCAAAAAGUGGUUAGCGACUCAAAUGGGACAUGAUACUGUAAUUGGACAGACAUCGAUUUCCAAAUCCCUUAAACCCUAUAUAGUGUUAAAAAUACAAUAUAAAUAUAAUAAGUCAACAAGUUUCAGUUCAACCCACUUCAUGAUGUUCCCCGCUGUGCUGGUCUCAGUCACACUGAGUACACGGUGAAGCACCAUGUAAUACGCAAGCUAACAUUCGAGUUAGCCACCUGCUAUUAGCCUUGCUACACUGUUAGCCGUGCAAGCAACGGUAGAAUAAACAACAGUACACACUACGUGAUCGAGCUACUUCUCUUACUGAGGCAGCUGCAUGUCUGCAGAUGAGACCAGACUGGAAAUGAGUAACAUGCAGAUGCGGAGGCACCGAUCAGUGGUGGGGAUAGUUGAAAACGCUUUUCUGGUCCAAGUUUGAUCAGUCGGUCUUCAGACUAUAGUAUUCUGUAGAUAUCUACAGCAUAUAUAUAUAUAUAUAUAUAUAUAUAUAUAUAUAUACACACACACACACGCCUUCGCCCGCCAGAAGAUGCUGGGAUAGGCUUCAGCCCCCCAGCGACCCCGGGAACAGGAAUAAGUGGUAGAAAAUGGAUGGAUGGAUGGAUAUAUAUAUAUAUAUAUAUAUAUAUAUAUAUAUAUAUAUAUAUAUAUAUAUAUAAUCGGUAAUCACAUUUUUCUCCCCCCUAAUAAUCUGUAUCGGCAUCGGCCCCAAAAAAUCUGUAUCGGUCGGGCCCUAGUGUAAAUCCAAUAGUAUAAAUUCGCAAACUUAAUUUUUGAUGCCAGAAAGGUUAUGCAAGGUCUAUCCUGAAAAAGGUAUCAUCUGGAUUGCAGCAUAUGUUGCCCUAACACCUGUCUAGGUCAGCAUGGCAAUGGUUCCUUCCCAGGUGUAUAAACUAGGCAUGCCAGUGUCACUUAUACUGUAUAUCUCCAUACCAUCACAACUGCUAGCUCUUAACUGUGUGCUGAUAACACACUCCUGCGAGGGUGUGGCAUCCAUGAUUUCCAAAAAGAACACAAAUCUGAGAGGUGUCAAAAAGAAAAAUACCCCCUACGAAUUCAUGUCCAGACAAAUGCAGAUUAUUUUGGACAUGUCACCCUAAUGUCUACUGUCUCGACUAAUUGAGGUAGAUAUCUUCCAUAUUGCUCCUUUAAACCAGAAAGACUUAAACUGGGUUGUACUAGUUUCUGGUUUGUGAUUGGUUCAGGCAUCGAUUGUGCCAUUUUUCUUUCCUGUCUUGCUUACCUGUCCCUCGCCUCUGUCCCCUUCUGUCUCCCUUUGCUCUUUCAUCAGGUUUUUUUCCUGCCAGAGGCCGAGUCUCCUGCCUUAUGGAUGAGCCCUGUCAGUCAGCAGGAUCUCAUACAGCACCAACACAUCACCCAGCAUGACAUUAGAGCCACAAAACUGUGCUGGUGUGUUUAUACGUGCAUGUGUGAUGUACACGUUCUCCAAUGUGUGUAGAGUGGGGAGGACUUCUAAGGCAUGCAUCAUUUUCCCGGUAGACAAAUAUGAAAAUGCAUGACGACUCUUGCAUGACAGCUCUGUCCUCAUUCAUCCAUCAAUCAGCUUUGCAGAAUAUACAUUCAGACACAUAUACAGAGAACACACAUGCAUGCAUCAUGGGAAUGUGGAAAUAUGCUCAUAGGAUGUCAUGUCAUCUAUUAUCCAAUAUAGUGCAGAGAAAGACAGAGAUGGUGAG